rnacentral:lncRNA from 1 species
GCCGUCGGAUCAAACCGACAUUGAUCGCAUGGUUUUCCUUGAUCCUUUAGGUCGGUGGAGCAUAAUCCGCGAAACGUGUCCUGAUUGGGCACUGUAGCUGGGCGGGCGCCCAGGAGAGUUGGGCGGGCGCCCUGCCUCCGAGCCCGAUUUCCUUCCCGUUCGUUCCCGUGGCUUCUAGAGUCUUCUAGAUGAUAGAAAAUUGCGCGACACGUUAAUAUCUCUAUGUAAACCCGACGUGUGGGAGUUUCUUCCGUAUUUCCUGAUAACCCCCUGCAGAAAUAGACAAACACCAAAACUCGUGGAAUUCUGUCAGAUAAAACCCUAAUUCUAGGUGUUGGUUGCAUUUGGAUCCUUUUCCAUGAUUAGUUGAUGGUUAAAUCUGAGCAUUAAGGACCGUCAACAGAAGCAAGCCUCGGGUUAGGAGACUUGAUCCCGCAGGUACAACUCGGAGUAGACACCGACAGGCCGGCCUUCCUCCGAUCCACACCUCCACUCUAUCUCUCUCAAUCUAGUAGAAACUAGAAGAUCUAUUUCUACUUUACAUUGGUUGCUAAGCCUAAAAAGAAAUAUUAUUUAGAGAAGAGGUUUUCCUUCGAGGGCACCCCUCAAUCUCUAUGAUAAUUUCUUGUCUUCUCCAGGGGCCAGGGGGGUCUCCUUAUAUAGUCCUCCUCCUCUAUGCGUUUUUGGUUCAGCAGGCGAUGUGGUACUAAACUUUCCACCAUAUCUCAUUAAAAUGCACAUAGGCCUUAAUGGACCAAAAUCUGAUUUGGGCCCAAUUAAUCCCGCAGCUCUUUUAUAUGGAGUCCUUUUAUUAAUAUCUCUUGAUUCCGAACUCCAAAUAUAGCAAAUAAUAUAUGCAUUUCGAUCAGCUCGACAAGAUCUUUGCAAUGGUGUACUCCAUUCUGUGAUUGGUGGAAACACCUGGGCGGGCGCCCAAGGGGGGUGGGCGGGCGCCCUGCCCUCGGGCCCGUUUGCCUUCUCGUUCGUUCCCGUGGCUUCUGGAGUCUUCUAGAUGGUAGAAAAUUGCGUGGUGCGUUGAUAUCUCUAUGUAAUCCCGACAUGUGGGCCUUUCUUCCUUAUUUCCUGAUAACCCCCUGCAGAAAUAGACAAACACCAAAACUCGUGGAAUUCUGUCAAAUAAAACCCUAAGUCUAGAUGUUGAUUUCAUGUGGAUCCUUUUCUUUGUUUAUUUGAUAAUUAAAUUUGAUACUUAAGGACCGUCAACAGUACUCAGCUAGACUUACCCGACAUAAAUUAAAAUAAAGACUCUUCAAGGAUCAUGAAGGCUAUAUAGUGAGGUAGCUGACGACCAUUUUGCAAAACCGCAGAAUUCUAUUAUCAUCACCUAGAUAAAUCUUUUCUUCUUUUAAUUUGCUCAAGUUGAAGGUAUCAUUACCUAUUAUCAAGGUUUUGCACCUGAACUAUUACAAGCAAUUAUAAAGAUAUGAUAGUACCUCAUCAUAGCAUUCAUAAACCAUUUAUCAUUAUAACCCAAGUGCUCCAUAGUCCUUACUACGAGGACGAAGCUCAUGUCAAGUGCUCACUAUCCAGGAGCGAUGGCGAUUCGAAUCGAUUUCUAACCAGCUGGCGAGGUAUUCCCCACACAAACCACACUCACUGAUCAAGUGAGCUACAGAUCACCGUAUUACACUAUCCAGGACCAAUUCGCGGGUUCGGCAGGCACCGCCAGUACCCGAGGACCGUUCCGGCGACCGAGGUAUCCAAGGUAUACCAAGGUUGCGCGCCGCGCCCUCGUCAUUCUCCUCAACCAUCACCAAUACAGCGCAUGGCGGCUCGAUUCCCGGCCCGGAUAGUGUUCAGGCUUCGCGGUCGGAACGGCUUAUCCUUCCAGCUAAGUGUGGGGCAUGCGUUCAACAUGACAAGAGGGCCGUCAACGACCGGUCCUUAAUCGACACAGGCAGAGGCACUAUGGUCAAACCACCAUAAGACCCGGCCUGGUCUCAAAUUCCAUUCCACACUUGGUUAUUCUUUUCCCAAAGCAACCACUGCUUACCCAAGCAGGUAUCCACCUAUAUCUCGCAGGUGACCGGAAAUCACCCGACUUCUACCGGACUAUGCAAGCUAAGCAUCGACUCCGUACCUAUCUACAUAGGACAAGGUAGAUAAAUGAGGGGUGAUAUCAAGGAGUACCAAUGCAUCAACGGUAUCAACCAACUCCUAUCACUUAGAUGCAGUAAUAUAGAACAAGCAUAAUAUAUCCUGUAAGUUAGCGAGAAUAGGGAGACUUAGAAUGCUCUGGGGCUUGCCUUUCUCAAACAUGCUGGCUCGGUGAUGCGGACACUCCUGCAGUUCCUCUCUGGACUCCUGUGCUUCCGGAGGUUCCUGCUCGUGAAUCUCCUCUGGUUCCUCGGGUCCCACCUCGUUCUCCUGCGAGCCUGUAUGAUGCAUGUGUGCUCAUGAGUGGAGUGCGAGAUGCCCGAGUGGAUGCUUGUAUGAGAAGGUACCAAAGGAUCAUGACAUGAUGCAUAGAUGAUACACUUGGUCAUGCUCAUUACAAGGUAGUCAACAUCAUCCAGGAACAGACAAUUGGACUAAACAUCUAGUGCAUUCUCUUCUACAAGUAUUUUUCAAGUGUGACCAGCAACCCACAAGUUGCUUCAAAGAUACACCAAACCCAAACUUAUUCUAUUCAACCUAUACAUACAACAAUUCAUAAUUUUCUUUAUUCAUUUCUAGGCCCAUUAAAUUUACAUGCAGUUCUGUUCAUGAAUAAAUUCCUCAAAAAUCACAGGAGACUACCAGUCAAGCAUAAAGUCUACUGUAAAUUUUUCAUAAUUUUUGGAUACUUAUUUUGAGCUACAAAAAUCACAGGAUUAAUUAAUAAGGUAAGUAUAAUCACUCUACUGUGAUAUAAGUGUCAAACAACAGAUUUCAUAUUUUUACAAUUUGUCUAAUAUCAUAAGAUACACCCACAAAAUUUUCCAGAUUUAUUGCAUGAUCCAAUUAAUUUUUAAAAAUCAUAAACCACUGCCAUGCAAGCAUUUAAAUUACCAUAAAUUCAUUUAUACACCAAAUAAUAUGUAGCAAUAUUUUCCCAGUGAGUAAACAUACAUGCAGAGCCAACAAAUCAAGUUUCACAUUUUUCUCAACCAUAUUUUAAUUACUAUGCAUUUUCAAAGUUUAGCAAAAAACAUGGAUUAAAUAUUUUCAUACAGAAAAGUUACUCAAACAUGACAUGCAAUUACAUCAAACUGUAGAUCUGGAAAUAUAGAGCACACCAAAAUUUAUUUCAUCAAAUUUCGAGCUGUAGAACUCAAGAUAUGAAUUUUAAAACUUUCGAAUCGAUUUCUGGAAAACAUUUAUUCAAGAAAACCGACGAAAAAGGCUAAACACACCCUGAUCUACACCCACCGGGGUCCCCCUGUGACUGACAGUGGGCCUCUGGCCCCACUGUUCAGCGAGACUGAGAGGGAGCUCACCUCCGACGAGCAGAUCUCGCCGGCGGUGAGGUCCCCGGCCACGGGGUGAGCACCAACGUGCUCCCCGCAGCGAGGCGCACCCAGCGGUACUCUCGGAUUGACCGGAGGAUGGCCGGAGCACCUCCGACGAGCGUGCAUGGUGGCACAGCGGCGCUGCUCGCCGUGGCCAGGCCGCUCGGGCGUGGUAGAGCGUGCGCAUACGGCUCUCCGAGCUUCCUCACCACCCUACCGACCUAGCGCAACCAAAAACCAGCAAAAAGAGGCAGGGAAACGCAAGAUACGUCGCGGCGGAGUACUCCGGCGAGCUCGGGGUAACUCCGGCGAGCUAUUCACGGCGCUCGAUGGACUCUCACCUCGGUAGAACGCUCGCACAAGCUUACCCUAACGAUGGCAAAGGCGCUGGUGGCUUCGGUGUCGAGUUUUGGUCACCGGAGUGGCCGGCGGUGAGCAGCGGAGCUGCUCCGGCGAUGGCGCCGCGGCGGAGUUCUACGGCUCGGUUGCGCUCGCGAGCGGAGGGAGGAAGGAGAAGGGCGUGGGCGACAGGAUGGAGGGAAUGGCCUGGGAGCCCGAGCCGGCGUCCCGACCAGGGGGUGUUGGAGGCCGGCCGCGGCGCGCUCCUCGCCAGCGUACGGCCGCCAUGUGGCCGACGCUGGCUGGGACGAGGCGCGUCCGCGCGCGGGAGAGAGGGGGAGGGGGAAGCAGGCCGGGCCGCUCGCUGGGCCGAAAGGGAGGCGGGGUUGGCCCGGCAGCGCCUGCCCCUUUUCAUUUUUUUUUGAAUUUCUUUUCUCCAAAUCCUUUCUAAAUUCAUUUGGACCAAUUUAAAAUCAUUUUCACCUCUUGCUCCCAAAAACAAAGUUGUUCCAAAACAAAAACCCCACAACUUUGUUUUAAUAAGCAAGACCAAAUUCCCAACAGAAUUUGAAUUACAAAUUAAAACUAGUUCUAGGUUUUCAAAUAAAUUCAAUUUGGGGAUUUUUGUAUAAAUUCCAUUUCUCAAAUUCUAUAGCUCCAAAAAUUGCACAAAAAUAUUCUUAAUUCUUCUUACACAUAAUUCAACCUAGUUUGAAUAUUUCACAUUUUUAGAAGCAAGCAUCAUAUUUUUAGCAUAAUUAAAACACAUGAAAUAAAGCACACAAAAUCAUGUUUUUGGGAUGAAUGACAUGCUCAUGAUGCUAUGCUUGAUGAGAAUGCUUAUGCAUGUUGUAAUAGGGCUAAAUGCAUGCUUAACACCUAGGGUGUUACAGGGGCCAUUGCUCAGGCUGGCAAGGCUAUCGAGGAUCUCCGCGUUGCCAACACUGUGCUGGCCCGCUCCACCAAAGAGAUCGAGAGGGCCAACACCAGACUAGUUGGCGAGAACACGGCCUUGGAGGAGAGUGUCCGUAGUACGUUUCCUCUGUCGGAUUUCUUUUUUGAGGUGUGCUUGGUUUUUCCUAAAGUUUCUUGUAUUGGCAUUUACAGGGCUUAAGGACGAACUCUUAGCCACCCAAGUUGAGGCCCGUAGUGCUAAGGCCCAGCUCGAGGCGGAGGUUGCUUUGAACCGUCGAGUGCGGACGGCGAUAAACGACCUCUCGACCUCUUGGGAGGUCGAGCCUAUGGACGAGUCGAAGGAGGUCGAGCCUAUGGUCGACCAGCUGUGCUACUUAGGCGCGAUGCUGAGAGAUCGGGUGCGGGAUGCCCUCCACAUCGGGGUGAAGCGGGCGAUGGCGGUUGUCUGCUCGGGCUUCACCUACGACAUGGAGGUGGUGUCCCACGGCUUCGUCACCGACAUCUCCAUGACCGACGCGGAGAACGAAGAGAGGCUCCAUGCCUUGAUCGACGACGCGGAGGCUCCUGGAGAGAGGCUGGCCAAGCUUUCUGAGCCUGAGGUGCUUCCUCCUGAGACUAGCUCGGGCGCAGGCGAGGGUGGUGAGGAUCGUGCUGUAGACUAAGGCCUGCGAGCCUUCUUUGGGUGCUGGGGGCCCCUUGUAUAGUACUCCUAUUAACUUGUUUUUAAGGGAUAUGGUGUCUUUAAGUAUUUGUUAAAUGUUUAUCUGUCUUUCCGCUCAAGGCUCUUUUAUUUCCCUUUGCGCCUACGUUUGUAUUCCUCGUUCGAUCUUUUGUCAAAAACAGCCUGGAUCACCUCAAGGGUGGGGAAGUGAGUAGAGUUUCCAUAGCCUGGGGGCGUAGGAGUUCUCAGGCUUGUUGUCCCUCGUCCCUUAAGGGGCUGGAGGCACCUCAACUUACUCGAACGUGCAAGGUUUACUAGGUUUCUUGGCUUUUUCGACACUUGGGGGGGUCGCCCCCCCUGGUAGCCCCCGAGGGAGUAUCGACUAUGAUGGGUCAUAGUUGGUACUCCCUUCUGACGUCGAGAUUUGAGAAAGUAAAUCGCUCGAGGGAAAGACUUCAUUUAUUCAUACAUUCAUUUACAAGGCCUUGGUACAGAAUGUACGUAGGAACAUAAAGUUUUGAACUUCUAGGGGUAGAAUCGACGUAGCUGUUCGAUGUUCCACGCGUUGGUGAAGAUCGUCCCCUUUUCAUCCGCGAGCUUGUAUGUCCCUGGCUUCAGGACCUCGGCCACCACGUAUGGGCCCUCCCAAGGUGGAGUCAGCUUGUGGCGUCCUUGAUUACUUUGCCGGCGUCGUAGGACAAGGUCGCCCACGUUUAAGUCCCUCUUGCGCACGUGGUUGUCGUGGUAGCGUCGAAGUCUCUGCUGGUAUCUGGCAGAGUUAAGGAGGGCCAUGUCUCGAGCCUCCUCGAGUUGGUCGACCAUGUUUUCUUGAGUCUCCUUAUUUGAUUGCUCGUUGUACGCUUUAAGUCGAGGGGACCCAUACUCGAGGUCUGUGGGGAGGACGGCCUUAGAGCCAUAGACCAUGAAGAAUGGGGUGUAUUUUGUGGCCCUGCUUGGUGUUGUCCUUAGGCUCCAUAGGACCGAGGAAAGCUCCUCGACCCACUUUUUGCCGAAUUUCUUCAAGCGAUUGUAGAUCCUUGGCUUGAGUCCUUGUAAAAUCCUACCGUUGGCACGCUCGACCUGGCCGUUAGUUCGAGGGUGGGCUACUGCAGACCAGUUCACACGGAUGUGAUGCUGAUCGCAGAAGUCCAAGAACUUUUUGCCGGUGAACUGAGUGCCGUUGUCGGUGUUGAUGACGUUGGGAAUCCCAAACCGGUGGAUGAUGUCGGUGAAGAAAAGGACGGCCUGCUCGGAGCGGAUGUUGGUGAUGGGUCGAGCCUCGAUCCAUUUGGAGAAUUUGUCGAUGGCCACGAGCAAGUGGGUGUACCCUCCUUUCGCCUAUUGUAGGGGCCCUACUAAGUCGAGCCCCCACACCGCAAAUGGCCAUGUAAUGGGGAUCAUCUGAAGAGCGUGGGCGGGCAGAUGCGUCUGUUUGGCGUAGAACUGGCACCCAUGACAUGAGCGUACGAUCUUGAUGGCAUCUGUUACGGCCGUUGGCCAGUAGAAGCCUUGUCCGAAGGCGUUACCUACGAGGGUCCGUGGAGCGGCGUGGUGGCCGCAAGCCCCCGAGUGUAAGUCCUCGAGGAGUUUCCGGCCUUCUUCCACGGUGAUGCAACGCUGCAAGACCCCCAUCGGGCUUCGUCGAUAUAGCUCAUUGCCUUCGCCAUAAAUCACAUAUGACUUGGCCUGUCGAGCGAUACGGCGGGCCUCAGACCGAUCUUCUGGCAGCUCGCAGCGGAUUAGGCAGUCGAGGAACGGUGUACGCCAGUUGAGCGGUCGACCGGGCCGCUGUUCUACCUCCAUCACCUCAACUGCCAUCAAUGGUGCGUCGACGGUGUCGGUUGGCUGGGCGAGAGCGGCAUCGACGCCAGCCCCCAAGCCCAAGUCGACGGAUGGCUCGUGAAGAUCUUUCGAGAACGCGUCAGGUGGUACCGUGCCUCAGGUCGACGCGAUCUUGGCGAGUUCGUCGGCUGCCUCGUUGUAGCGUCGGGCGACAUGGACGAGCUCGAGGCCAUGGAAUUUGUCCUCGAGUCGACGGACUUCUUUGCAGUAUGCCUCCAUUUUCGGGUCGUGGCAGCUUGAAGUCUUCAUCACUUGGUCGAUGACAAGUUGGGAGUCGCCUCGGACGUCGAGGCGUCGGACCCCUAGCGCGAUGUCGAUCUUGAGACCGUUGACGAGGGCCUUGUAUUCUGCGACAUUGUUGGAUGCGGCAAAGUGAAUCCUGAUGAUGUACCUCAUAUGGACGCCCAAGGGCGAGAUGAAUAGCAGGCCGGCCCUGGCCCCCAUCUUCAUGAGUGACCUGUCGAAAUACAUCAUCCACAGCUCCGACUGGACCUGAGUUGGGGGAAGCUGGGAGUCUGUCCAUUCCGCGACGAAGUCUACCAGAGCUUGCGAUUUGAUGGCCUUGCGAGGCGCAUAAGUGAGAGUCUCACUCAUGAGCUCGACCGACCAUUUAGCUAUUCUUCCCGUGGCCUCCUUACUCUGGAUUAUCUCACCCAGGGGGAAAGAUGAGACCACCAUGAUAGGGUGGCCGAGGAAGUAGUGCUGCAGCUUACGGCGGGCGAGGAUUACGGCAUAGAUCAGCUUCUGGAUUUGGGGGUAACGUCCCUUGGUCUCUGAGAGCACCUCGCUGUCGAAAUAUACUGGCCUCUGGACUGGCAACGCAUGCCCCUCCUCCUGCCUUUCGACCACCACCACUGCACUGACAACCUAGGUCGUCAAGGCAACAUAAAGGAGCAGUGGUUCCGCAGGUUGAGGUGGGACUAUGACUGGUGCUUAGGUCAGUGUUUUCUUCAGAUUUUCGAGGGCUCCCUCGGCCUCGGGGGUCCAAGAAAAACGAUCGACCUUCUUCAGGAGUCGAUACAGCGGUAGCGCCUUUUCUCCUAAUCUCGAGAUGAAACAGCUCAGCGCCGCUAGGCAUCCCGUGACUCUCUGCACACCCUUGAUGUCUCGAAUCGGCCCCAUCCUUGUGAUGGCUGAGACUUUCUCGGGGUUGGCCUCGAUGCCGCGCUGGGAAACAAUGUAGCCCAAGAGCAUGCCUCGUGGCACACCGAAAACGCAUUUCUCGGGAUUCAGCUUGAUCUGGUUGGCGUGUAAGCAGCUAAAGCGAUCUUGAGGUCCUGGAUCAGGUCUCCUUGACGCUUUGAUUUGACGACUAUGUCGUCGACAUAGGCCUCGACCGUCGACCCUAUAUGCUUGCCAAAUACGUGGAGCAUGCAACGUUGGUAUGUGGCUCCCGCAUUUUGAAGCCCAAACGGCAUGCUUACAUAGCUGUACAUCCCGAGAGGUGUGAUGAAAGAGGUCGCGAGCUGGUCGGACUCUUUCAUUUUUAUUUGAUGGUAACCAGAAUAUGCAUCAAGAAAAGAAAGGGUUUCACAUCCCGCAGUAGAAUCAACAAUUUGAUCAAUACGUGGUAAUGGAAAGGGAAUUUUCGGACAUGCUUUAUUUAAACUCGUAUAAUCGACACACAUCCUCAUUUUCCCAUUCUUUUUCUUAACUAGUACAGGGUUUGCUAACCAGUCAGGAUGAUGAACCUCCUUGAUGAAUCCGGCCGACAAAAGCUUGUGGACCUCCUCGCCAAUGAUCUUGCACUUCUCCUCGUCGAAUCGGCAUAACCGUUGCUUCACUGGCUUGGAACCGGCUCGAAUCUGCAAGGAGUGCUCGGCGACCUCCCUCGGUAUGCCUGGCAUGUCCGAGGGACUCCAUGCAAACAUGUCGGCGUUCGCAUGGAGAAAGUCGACGAGCACAGCUUCCUAUUUGGGGCCGAGGUCGGCGCUGAUCGUCAGCACCUUGCCGUCGGAGUUGUUGGGGUCGAGCGGGAUCUUCUUGGUUCCCUCUGCCGGCUCGAAGCUGCCCGCGUGGUGUUUGGGCUCUGGAGCCUCAGCGGCCAGGGCCUCGAGUUUUGCGACGAGCUCGGUGGAGUUCUCUACCGCCUCCCCAUACUCGACGCACUCGAUGUCGCAUUCGUAAGCGUGCUCGAAGGAGGAGCUGAUAGUGAUGACGCCUUUGGGACCGGGCAUCUUCAGCUUCAAGUAGGUGUAGUUGGGUAUAGCCAUGAACUUUGCGUAGCCCGGGCGCCCGAUGAUGGCGUGGUACGUGCCCCGGAACCCGACCACCUCAAAGGUGAGGGUCUCCUUCCUGAAGUUGGCCGCCGUGCCAAAGCAGACCGGUAAGUCGAUUCGACCUACUGGCAGCGCCUUUUUCCCUGGCACAACGCCGUGGAAACCACCGGCGCUUGGUUGAAGCCGUCCCCUGUCGAUGCCAAGGAGGUCGAGGGUCUCGAGGUAGAUGAUGUUGAGGCUGCUGCCUCCGUCCAUUAGCACCUUCGAGAGCCUGGUAUUGACGAUGAUGGGGUCGACGACGAGCGGGUAGACGCCUGGGGCAACCACCUUGUCGGGGUGAUCCUCUCGGUCGAAGGUGAUGGGUGUGCUCGACCAGCUGAGGUACUGGGGCACCGCCAUUCUUGCCGCGAAGACCUCACGACGUUCCCUCUUGCGCUGCCUUGCAGUCAACUGCGUCGAGGGCCCACCAUAGAUCAUGUAGCAGUCGUGGACGACAGGGAAACCAUCGUCGUCCUUGUUGCCCUCCUUGUCACCACCCUUCUCCUUCUUGGGGUCGUCGUGCGCGUCCUUUCUGAACCCUAGGCCGUCGAAAUGCUUUUUCAGCAUACGACAGUCCUUGAGCUUGUGGUUGGCUCCUCCUUUGUGGUAAGGGCAUGGUUCCUCUAGCAUCUUAUCGAAGAUACCUCCAUAUAGGGGGGCCUUGAGGCUUCUUCCGCUCCAUGGCGGCGAUGAGGUCGUCGUCGAAGUUCUCCUGCUUGAACUGCCGCACCUUCUACUUCUUCUUGUUCUUCUUGAGCCCUCGACUAGGGGUCUCGUCUUCAUCGGCGGGCUGCUUGCCUUUCCUUCCUUCACAACUGAAGAAGGCACCGACUGCUUCCUCCCCUGCUGCGUAGUUUGCCACUACGUCCAUGAUCUCAUCGACGGUCUGAGGUCGGUUCCGACCCAAUUCCCGCACCAAGUCUCGACUGGUGGUACCAGAGACAAAUGCCAGGAUGACGUCGUGGUCGGGGAUAUGUGGCAGCUCGGUGUGCUGUUUUGAGAAGUGUCGAGCAUACUCUCAAAGAGUUUCUCACGACUUCUGCUUGCACUUGCUGAGGUCCCAUGAGUUCCUGGGCUGUAUGUAGGUCCCUUUGAAAUUACCCUCGAAGACACUAACCAAAUCGACCCAGUCGUGGAUCUGAUUUGCUGGGAGUUCCUCGAGCCACCGAUGGGCACUGUCGGAGAGGAAGAGUGGUAGCUGUCUGAUGAUGGCUCGAUCAUCUCCUCGAGCGCCUCCUAGCUGACAGGCCAGCCUAAAAUCGGCCAGCCACAACUCUGGUUUGGUCUCGCCAUUGUAUUUCGCGAUGCUGGUUGGGGGUCGGAAUGGACUGGGCAGGGGCGUGCUGCGGAUUGCCCUGCUGAACACCCGUGGGCCUGGUGGCUCGGGGGCCAUCCGGUCCUCGUCGCUGUCAUACCUCCCACCGCGGUGUGCGCUGUAACCGCGCUCUUCCGCAUCCCCAUACCGACGGCGUCGAUUCUCUUCGAUGUCAUGCCGCACGUCGUGUCGACGUUGAUUGUCGACAGGGAGGACGAGAGUGGCCUUUCUUCCUCGAGGGGGAGGCUGUUGAUGGACUGACACCUCCUUUUCGUUUUGGGGCGGCUCAUCGCGCUUUUCAGUGGCGGCUCCUCGUCGUCGAGAAGCCCAGCUUUCGGCUUGUUGAACCGCCGCUACCUGGAGCAGAGUCUGCACCUCGUCUCGAAUGCGUCGAGCUUGGGAAUUUGAUGGCUCUGGCAUGUUGCAUAGCAGCAUUGUUGCUGCCACUACGUUCUGGCCUGCUCGAGAGAAGCGGCUGACGGGUUGCUCUGGCUCCACGUCUCCGACGAUUUGCCGGUGUACCUCUCGAGCUCGCCUACAGACACUUCCGCCGGGCGGGUAAGGCAAGUCUUGUUCGAGGAUUUGCUCAAGCAGGACGAGGUGCUCACGGUCUUCGUCGAGCUUUGUCUUGAGCUCUCAUAGUUGCGCAAGCUGCACAGCCCUGUCUUCCUAUGGAAGUGGAUCGACCUAUCCGCCGUUCCCAGGCGUCCUGGGGUCUUCCCUUGCUGCGGGGGCUCGACCGCCCGCAGCUGCGUCCUGCGUCUCGUCGGUAGUUAUCUCGUCAGUAGUAAAAUAUAAUCAUCAAAUAAACAAAGAAAAGGAUCUAAAUGAAAUCAACAUCCAGACUUAGGGUUUUAUCUGACAGAAUUCCACGAGUUUUGGUGUUUGUCUAUUUCUACAGGGGGUUAUCAGGAAAUACGGAAGAAAGGCCCACACAUCGGGAUUACAUAGAGAUAUUAACGUGCCGCGCAAUUAUCUUACAUCUAGAAGACUCCAGAAGCCACGAGAACGAAGCGGAGGCGAAACGGCGCCUGGCCCUGGGCGCCCGCCCAGGAGACCAGGGCACCCGCCCCCUGUUGGAGUCCAAUCAGGACACCCUUUUGGGAUUACGCUCCACCGACCUAAAGGAUCAAGGAUAACCGUUCAAUCAAUAUCGGUUUGAUCCAACGGCCCAUAUUCACUCGAAGGGACUAUAAAACCAGAACCCGUGGCCCCUGGAGGAGAGAGCCUCUCAACCCUAAUUCAUUAUUCCUCAAGGGAGAAGAAGCCUCUGAUCAAGCCUAGAGCCACCACAUCAAUUAGACAUCUAGAUUAGCAUAGCUACAUAGGAUUAGAACUAGAAGGAGUCAAUCUUCGAUUGGUUUCCGGAUCUGUCAAGAGGAUUCUUGGUAAUUCUCUAAUUGUUCUUCUAAUUGUUCAUCAUUGUUCUUCAAUAUUAUGAAUAUGACUUUGCUCUACUUCAAUAUAUUGCUUAUGACUUUGCUCUACUUGUUUAUAUUCAAGAUUAUAUUGUUCUUAGUUUAUCAUAGUUAUAUACUUGGCUUAGUUAGAUUGGAUCUAUAUACAUGUUUAGGAUCGUAUAGCAUUUAUCUAUUGGAUCCAUGGGUAAAUGAUAGAUAUUGUGUAGGCGUGGUGCUUAUACCGUAUUUAUCUGCGAUUGUACCCAAUAUGCCAGAUCAUGGGGUAGUUCGUGAUAGUGACAGUUUCAUUGAUUCUUAUAUAGUCCCCCUCUCGUGUAUUGGGCUGGCAGAGCAACAUUAUUAUAGGGGAGUGAUUAUGAUGUUUCACAUAUUCCUUGCUAUAUCACUAUGCAUGGGCGUAGUCCUGUCUCGCAAUGAUUGCUAAGUAUACUUGCACUAACUAUGAUAAUGCUAGACUGUAUAGUUAAGAAUAACUUAGGAAAUAUUCUGUGGCUAAGUUAUGCUAAUCAGAUUAAUUAUCUUUGUCACUAUUCAUUACUUUAUAUAUCCUUUAUGUGACACUUAUCCCUGUAUGAAAGAGUUAGAUAAAUGUUCUCAAUUAUACAUGCAAUGAUAGAUGCUCAAUCUUAUAUUCCAUUCUAUAAUCAACAUUGAUGGUUACUAAUCCCUUCCCAGUGGGAAAAAUAUAAAUAACGAUACCUGGAAUACUUCCCGGUUAAAAUGCUACAUCGGUAUUUAUUUAGAUGAGCAAUUGCAUAUUUCAAUACCGCGUCUCUUAUGUCAUGCUGGGGAUGACAACUUGGCUUAAGUGGCAUGGGAGAUAGUUUUGGCAUUUUUGGCGCCGUUAUCAGAAUGAGAAAACUAAGUCUACUUUUGGUAAUGAUGUUAAGAAUACCCAGCAAUAUCCUGAAGGAAGGGAACCUCUACUACUAGAGAACAAACCUUUCAUCGAUGUGCCAAAUGAGCUUUAGUCCUAGCAUUUUUGGCGCCCGGGACAAAAGAGAUCUUUAGUCCCGGUUGGUAACGCCAACCGGGACUAACGAUCCCUCCCCAACGGCUCCGGUGUCAGGCGCUGUCGGGGAGGGACCUUUAGCCCCAGUGGAUGUUACCAACUGGGACUAAACACCUACCUUUAGCCUCGGUUUGUUCCACUAACUGGGACUAAACCUUUUGUCCCGGUCGUUGGCACCAACCGGGGCUAAAGGUAGGUGUUUAGUCCCGGUUGGUAACACCAACCAGGACUAAACCCUCCCCGCUAUAAAUUGAAUCUCCCUCCUCCCUUCUUGCACUCCCUGCCCGAGCCCGUGGUCCUUUAUUCUUGCUUGUUCUUCCAUUGUUCUUGCUUGUUAUUGCUCUCAUCUUCCGCGAUCGAUCCAUUUCAACGCUUCUACGCCGUUGUCGAUUUGUUUGAAAGGUUGCUAGCUUCAUCCUCCUAUGUUUCUCACCGCCAUAUGUAAUUUCAUGUUGGACAUAUGGCUAUUUUAAUUAUUUCAUGUUGCUAUCUCUCCAAUCAUCAUCUUCUCAUGUUUGAAUUUUUUUGAACGAUGCUAAGUGUGUGCCCGCUAGAAACUAGUGUACACAAAUCAUUACUACUAUGUAUACACAAAUCAUGUUUAGUUCUAUUAUAGAUAUUAUAGGAUAUUUUUACUUUAAUAUGGUCAUGUUCUUAUUUUAAAAUAUAUUUGUUGGACCAAACAUGGAGAGACUGGGUUAUGAUGGAAGAAGGUGAAGAAGAGCAAGCGUACCCUGACGAUGUUUUUGCUCAAUACUGCGACUUCGCGGUAUAGGACAAAGGUGAAGAAGACGGGGAUGCAGGAAACAGUAUCAUUGAUGAUGACGAUGCUCUUGGUGAUGUCAUUCACGACGUACAGAGAAAUUGCAAAAGUGCAAAGGAGAAGGCUAAAUUUGACCAAAUGCUAGAGGAUCACAAGAAGCUACUCUACCCAUCGGCCGAAGAGGGACAAAAAAAGCUAGGCACGACACUAGAGUUGUUACCAUGGAAGGCAGAGAAUGGUAUUUCUGACAAUGCAUUUGGAAAAUUACUCAAGAUCCAAAAAAAGAUGCUUCCGAAGCCUAAUGAGUUACCCACCACUACAUACGAAGCAAAAAAGAUCGUCUGUCCUUUGGGGUUACAAAUCAAAAAGAUACAUGUAUGCCCUAAUGACUACAUCCUAUACCGUGGCGAGCACGAGAAAUUAGAUGACUACCCUGUUUGCCAUGCGUCACAGUACAAGAUCUUGCGGGAUGACCCUGGCGAUGUUGAGGAUGAAGAACGUCCGAGGAAGAGAAUCCCUGCCAAGGUUAUGUGGUAUGCUCCAAUAGUUCCAUGCCUAAACAUUUGUUCAGAAAUAAGGAGCAUGCAAAGUUGUUGCGAUGGCACAAACAAGACCGUAAGGUGGACAACAUGUUGAGACACCCUGCAGAUGGUUCUCAGUGGAGAGGAAUCGAUAGUGAAUUCCAAGACUUUGCGGAGGACGCAAGAAACCUAAGGUUCGCAUUGAGUACGGAUGGAUUUAAUCCUUUUGGGGACCAGAGCUCUAGUCAUAGCACCUGGCCCGUUACUCUAUGUAUCUACAACCUUCCUCCGUGGUUAUGCAUGAAGCAGAAGUUCAUUAUGAUGCCGGUGCUCAUCCAAGGUCCGAAGCAACAUGGCAACGACAUCGAUGUUUACCUGAGGCCAUUGGUUGAGGAACUCCAGCUUCUAUGGAGCAAACCAGGUGUGCGUAUGUGGGAUGAGUACAAACAGGAAGCAUUCGACCUACGAGCAUUAUUGUUCAUGACAAUCAAUGAUUGGCUAGCUCUAAUCAAUCUUUCAGGAUAGACAAACAAGGGAUAUAAUGCUUGCUCCCAUUGCUUUGGUGACGUUCAAGCUAUCUAUGUGAAAAAAUGUCGAAAGGUUGUGUAUCCUGGCCAUCGUUGAUUUCUUGCUAAGAACCACCAGUUGAGAAAGAAAGGCGAACAUUUUAAAGGUAUGAGAGAACACUGGUCCAAGCCAUGCAACUGAGAUGGGGUAGAGGUAUUCGAGAUGGUCAAAGAUUUGAAUGUACUAUUUGGAAAGGGAGAAGGCAGCAAACCUGUUCCGAAAGACACUUCGGGGCGUGCCCCAAUGUGGAAGAAAUAGUCAAUAUUUUGGGAGCUACCAUAUUGGAAACACCUUGAGGUCCGCCACUCCAUCGACAUGAUGCACCUGACAAAGAAUCUUUGUGUCAAUCUCCUAGGGUUUAUGGGUGUGUUUGGAAAGCCUAAGGAUACCCUUGAGGCUCGAGAGGACUUAAAGCGCAUGAAAGAACGAGACAACCUGCAUGCAAAGCAGACAGAUGAUGGACGCCAGUAUUUUAAGACCUGCUAGCUACACUCUUAGCAAUGAGGAGAAGGAAAUCAUGUUUGAGUGCCUAAGCAGCAUCAAGGUCCCAUCUGGGUUCUCCUCCAACAUAAAGCUUAUAAUAAAUGUGCCAGAGAAAAAAUUUGUCAACUUAAAAUCGCACGACUGCCACGUGAUUAUGACACAACUGCUUCUGGUUGCCUUAAGAGGAAUUCUACCUCCACAUGUACGUCUGGCCACCGUGAAGUAGUGUGCAUUCCUCAAUGCAAUUUCUCAGAAGGCAAUAAAUCCUCUUGAUCUAGCUACUCUACAGAACGAUGUAGUUCAAUGUCUUGUCAGCUUUGAGUUGGUGUUUCCUCCAUCUAUCUUUGAUAUCAUGACACAUCUCCUAGUUCACCUGGUCAAAGAUAUUAAUAUCCUGGGUCCUAUCUUCCUACACAACAUGUUUCCCUUAGAGAGAUUUAUGGGUGUACUGAAAAAAUAUGUUCACCAGCGGGGUCGGCCAGAAGGAAGCAUCAUCAAGGGAUAUGGGAUAGAGGAGGUCAUUGAGUUCUGUGUGGACUUCAUUCCUGAUCUUGACCCGAUUGGUCUUCCUGAAUCAAGGUAUGAGGGGAGACUCGGUGGAAAAGGGUACACUAGGAAAGAAAACAUAUAUCAGCCAGAGUGAUGAUUUAUUCCAUAAAGUGCACUACACAGUCCUUCGAAACUCCAUUGUGGUGGAACCCUAUAUUGAGGAACAUAUGGAUUUUGUAUGAUCCGAGAAUCCUAGAAAGAAUGAGACUUGGGUUAUGCGUUAUCACAUGGAAACAUUCGGUGACUGGUUGUGAAAAAAAUGCCAAGGUGAUAAAGAUAUUGUAGAUGAACUUUAUUUGUUGGCUAGGCAACCAGCGUGGCACGUCAUCACGUACAAAGGAUACGAGAUAAAUGGAAAUACAUUUUACACCGUAACACAAGAUAAAAAGAGUACAAACCAAAACAGUGGUGUCCGUGUGGAUGCCACUGACAUGAAUGGGGACAGGCACACAUAUUAUGUUCGUAUAGAGGAGAUUUGGGAACUAGACUAUGCACAUAAUUUUAAAGUCCCUUUAUUCCGAUGCCAAUGGGUGAAGAUGAAAUGAGGGGUAUUGAUCGAUAAGGAGUACGGAAUGACAACAGUGGACCUCAACAAUAUUGGAUAUACAAACGAUCCAUUCGUCCUUGGUACUAAGGUGAAUCAAGUGUUCUAUGUGAAAGACAUGUCUACAAAACCCAAGAGAGGGAAACAAGAUGAGAAAAACACAAACGAGCCAAAGCGCCACAUCGUUCUUACAGGGAAAAGAAACAUCGUGGGAAUUGAAGACAAGUUAGACGUGUCAGAGGAUUAUGAAAAGGAUGAACGGAUCCCACCCUUCUGUGUGGGCAAAGACCCAAGCAUCAUGCUCGCUGUAGAGGACACUCCAUGGUUACAGAAUAUUCAUAACCAAGGGCAUUACGUUAAGAAAAAUUUUACCAUUGUGCUAGCUUGAUAAUGGUAGUGAUUUGUACUUGACAUCUUGUGUAAUAUAAUUGUAACAUUAUGUGUAAUAUAAUUCUAACAUCUUGAUAAUGUGGAUUUUGAACUACACUUUGCCAGCACUUUGUGAAAUGCAAAAAUGGUCUAUAUAUGAAAUGUAGAUCUUGAUGAGUGGAGCAAUAUUGGUAUUCAUGAGUUUUCCAUUUGAGGCCAUCCGUGGUUCCAAAAAUUAGCGUUUUGCUAUGAAUUCUUUCAAAUUUCCAAAUUGAGUGGUCCAACUUUUUCAAAUGAAAAUGUGACCAUUAGAGAAAAUGUAGACCCUGAUGAGUGGAACAAACUUUGUAUUCAUGAGUUUUCCAUUUGAGGCCAUCUAUGGCUCGGUCAAAGUGUGUGUUUGUGAAACCCACUGUUUUGACUUUGGUCAAACUUGGUCAAAUGACCCAUCUGAGGACUUCAAAUGGAAAACUAUUGGAUACCAAGUUGUUAGAGCUCAUCAACACCUACAUUUCAUACAUGGACCAUAUUUUCAUCCGGAUAAAUUUGAUCGAGUCCCAGUCACAUGUUUUCAAAUUCGAAGACGGGCUUUGGUCAAACUAGGUCAAACGAUGGAGAAAAUGACUUGGAAUGAAAAUCUUUUGAAUACCAAGUUGUUAGAGCUCAUCAAUAUCCAAACUUUUUAUAUAGACCAUUUUUCUAUUUGGAAAAGUUUAUGUAAACAAUACUCACCAAAACUUGAAUCUCACACAAACUAUAUGAAACUAUACGUGGGAAGUGUGGAUUUUGAACUACACUUUGCCAACACUUUGUUAAUGCAAAAAUGGUCUAUAUAUGAAAUGUAGAUCUUGAUGAGUGGAGCAAUAUUGGUAUUCAUGAGUUUUCCAUUUGAGGCCAUCCAUGGUUCCAAAAAUUAGCGUUUCGCUAUGAAUUCUUUCAAAUUUCCAAAUUGAGUGGUCCAACUUUUUCAAAUGAAAAUGUGACCAUUAGAGAAAAUGUAGACCCUAAUGAGUGGAACAAACUUUGUAUUCAUGAGUUUUCCAUUUGAGGCCAUCUAGGGCUCGGUCAAAGUGUGUGUUUGUGAAACCCACUAUUUUGACUUUGGUCAAACUUGGUCAAAUGACCCAUCUGAGUACUUCAAAUGGAAAACUUUUGAAUACCAAGUUGUUAGAGCUCAUCAAGACCUACAUUUCAUACACGGAUCAUAUUUUCAUCUGGAUAAAUUUGAUCGAGUCCCAUGCACAUGUUUUCAAAUUCAAAGACGGGCUUUGGUCAAACUUGGUCAAACGAUGGAGAAAAUGACUGCGAAUGAAAAUAUUUUGAAUACCAAGUUGUUAGAGCUCAUCAAUAUGCAAACUUUUUAUAUAGACCAUUUUUUCAUUUGGAAAAGUUUAUGUAAACAAUACUCACCAAAUCUUGAAUCUCACACAAACUAUAUGAAACUAUACGUGAGAAGUGCGGAUUUUGAACUACACUUUGCCAGCACUUUGUCAAAUGUAAAAAUGGUCUAUAUAUGAAAUGUAGAUCUUGAUGAGGGGAGCAAUAUUGGUAUUCAUGAGUUUUCCAUUUCAGGCCAUCCAUGGUUCCGAAAAUUAGUGCUUCGCUAUGAAUUCUUUCAAAUUUCAAAAUUGGGUGGCCCAAACUUUUUCAAAUGAAAUUGUGACCAUUAGAGAAAAUGUAGACCUUGAUGAGUGGAACAAACUUUGUAUUCAUGAGUUUUCCAUUUGAGGCCAUCCAGGCCUCGGUAAAAGUGUGUGUUUGUGAAAUCCACUAUUUUGACUUUGGUCAAACUUGGUCAAAUGACCCAUCUGAGGACUUCAAAUGGAAAACUAUUGAAUACCAAGUUGUUAGAGCUCAUCAACACCUACAUUUCAUACAUGGACCAUAUUUUCAUCCGGAUAAAUUUGAUCGAGUCCCAGUCACAUGUUUUCAAAUUCGAAGACGGGCUUUGGUCAAACUAGGUCAAACGAUGGAGAAAAUGACUUGGAAUGAAAAUCUUUUGAAUACCAAGUUGUUAGAGCUCAUCAAUAUCCAAACUUUUUAUAUAGACCAUUUUUAUAUUUGGAAAAGUUUAUGUAAACAAUACUCACCAAAACUUGAAUCUCACACAAACUAUAUGAAACUAUACGUGGGAAGUGUGGAUUUUGAACUACACUUUGCCAGCACUUUGUUAAUGCAAAAAUGGUCUAUAUAUGAAAUGUAGAUCUUGAUGAGUGGAGCAAUAUUGGUACUCAUGAGUUUUCCAUUUGAGGCCAUCCAUGGUUCCAAAAAUUAGCGUUUCGCUAUGAAUUCUUUCAAAUUUCCAAAUUGAGUGGUCCAACUUUUUCAAAUGAAAAUGUGACCAUUAGAGAAAAUAUAGACCCUAAUGAGUGGAACAAACUUUGUAUUCAUGAGUUUUCCAUUUGAGGCCAUCUAGGGCUCGGUCAAAGUGUGUGUUUGUGAAACCCACUGUUUUGACUUUGGUCAAACUUGGUCAAAUGACCCAUCUGAGUACUUCAAAUGGAAAACUUUUGAAUACCAAGUUGUUAGAGCUCAUCAAGACCUACAUUUCAUACACGGAUCAUAUUUUCAUCUGGAUAAAUUUGAUCGAGUCCCAUGCACAUGUUUUCAAAUUCAAAGACGGGCUUUGGUCAAACUUGGUCAAACGAUGGAGAAAAUGACUGGGAAUGAAAAUAUUUUGAAUACCAAGUUGUUAGAGCUCAUCAAUAUCCAAACUUUUUAUAUAGACCAUUUUUCCAUUUGGAAAAGUUUAUGUAAACAAUACUCACCAAAUCUUGAAUCUCACACAAACUAUAUGAAACUAUACGUGAGAAGUGUGGAUUUCGAACGACACUUUGCCAGCACUUUGUCAAAUGCAAAAAUGGUCUAUAUAUGAAAUGUAGAUCUUAAUGAGUGGAGCAAUAUUGGUAUUCAUGAGUUUUCCAUUUGAGGCCAUCCAUGGUUCCGAAAAUUAGCGUUACGCUAUGAACUCUUUCAAAUUUCAAAAUUGAGUGGUCUAAUCUUUUUCAAAUGAAAAUGUGACCAUUAGAGAAAAUAUAGGUCUUGAUGAGUGCAACAAACUUUGUAUUCAUGAGUUUUCUAUUUGAGGCCAUCCAGGGUUCCAAAAUCUAUCUUACAGCUUUUGAAAAUUUAAAUUUCAAAUUUAUACAAUAAAUGUCGCGCAUUUGUAUAAAUAUUAUUAAAGAAAUAAAAGUUUAACGUCUAAAUGACCCAAAAACCAAGUAUGAAAUAAAAGCCAAUAAUUUUUUAAAAUUUAAUUGCCAUUAUAUUUUUGCAUUAACACAAUAUUCAUUAUAAAUAACAUUAUUUUUGAAUAAUAUGAAAUAUUUGAAAAUCAAUUCUGUUUAGAAUUUUUAUACUGAAGAGUAGAGCAGAAUAAAAUUAAUAUGUAUUUUUUCAACAAUUUUAUUAGAUUUAUUUAAUUUAUAAUGCAUUUAACAAUGUAAAAGGGAAAAAAGGAAAAACUAAAUUAUGGCGCCUAAACUGGCGCCAUAAUUUGGUGAAAACUCUUUGUCUCGGGCCGAGCUAGCGCCCGGGACUAAAGGGUCUUUAAUCUCGGUUCCAGCGAGGAACCGGGACUAAGCUCGGCCCGGGACUAAAGGUGCCCUGCCAUAUAAAGGGCAGAGCCCUUCUUCCUCCUGCCCACCGCGCCCGCGUCGAUCUUACCGUAACCGCCGCCGACCCGUCGUCUUCUCUGCCGCCGCUCCGUCGAUCUCGUCCUUGCCGCCGUCGUCCUUGCUCCGAGCGCCGCACCGAGGACGCCUCGCCGUACGCCGCGCGCCCACCGCCUCUACUCCCUCUCUCUUUCUCUCUUUCUCGUUCUCGCGCGCGCCGCCGCCACCUCGAUCGGGAACCCGCGAGCUCACCAACCGCCGCCACGCGCGGCUGCGCCCUUCGCGCCCGACAACGGCAGCCGGCGGGGGGCAGUGGCGCGGGCCCCAUGCCGUACGCCGUCGGCCGCGCGGCCACAUGCACCCACACCGGCGGCGUCGCCCGAGCCCCCCGCGCCGCUAAGACAGAGAUCGAGAAAGAAAAAAAAUGAAAAAAAUGAAAAAAAAUAUGAAAUAACAAAGAAAUAACUUUAACUAAAUAUAUAGUAAAAAAUAUUGAUAUUUAUAAUACAUAGUUAGGCCUUGUUUAGUUCUAAAAAAUUUUAGGAAAUCGACACUGUAGCAUUUUUGUUUGUAUUUGACAAAUAUUGUCCAAUCAUUGACUAACUAGGCUCAUGCAUACGUAUCGUUCUAAAAAAGUUUCGUAUCGUUAAUUCCGACCAAACUGUGCAAUUAGUUUUUAUUUUCGUCUAUAUUUCAUACUCCAUGCAUGCAUACGUUUAAAGAUUUGAUGUGACGGAGAAUCUGAAAAAUUUUGCAAAAUUUUAUGGGAACUAUGCCUUAGUAUCAUUGAAAAGAUCUUUCGGUCUAGUUUUUUAACAAAUUUAUUUAGAGACUUGGUUUUUGUUUUCUUCUAUAUUUAGUGCUUCAUGCAUGUGCCAGAAUAUGUAAAUGUGAUAUAAUAUUCGUUCCCUCUUUCUUCCUUCUUCCAGAUCGACGUCUCUCUGUCGUCGUCACCGAAGUCCCCGUCGAGUCUCCGCGCCGACUGCCAUCUCUCCGCCGUCUCACCAUUUCAAACUACACGUAUGUCUAGAGAUGGAUCUAUUAGUGGUACAAUUAGUGCUAUAAUUAGUGGUACAAUUAGUGGUAUAAAUUAGUGGUAUAGUUAUGAUAUAUUUAAUUGUUAGCAAAUGAUAUACACUAAACCCUAAACCUAAGCCCUAAGCCCUAAACCCUAAACCCUAAACCCUAAGGAGUAUGUGCCACCCUCAGAAGGUACGAGGACUUGGUACGCAAAUAUACAAGUUGCACGAGUACUACUUGAGAGUCAGCUCAAAACAUAAGGAAGAAGAAUUGAUUGCCGUCCGAGUCUGCGACCGACACUACUUCGGUGGAGAUGACGUCAUACGGAUAGAUUUUAGUGAAGUACACCAGCUUCUCCAUAUGAAUGCUCUCAACAAAUCUCUCAUGAGCUGCUACUGUCUGUAAGUGAUUCUUCCUUUUAAUUAUUAAUCCCAUUAUAGCAUAUGUAUGUAUUCAUAAUAACUACGAUCACGAUGUGUAGACACAUGAUGAGAGAACAAAGAUUGAAAAAAGACAAUCGAAUUGGUUUCAUCGAUCCAUAUGUCGUGUACAAGGACACCAAGACUAAAGAUCCAUUGAAUCUGAAGCCUAAGGAAAUAGGGAAGAACCUCCGGAGGUUCUUUUAUAAUCAAAGCCAUACAGAGAAGAUACUCUUCCUUUACAAUAUGGGGUAAGUGUUGUGUUAUAUCAUGUCUUAGUUAGUCCGGCAUUAAGAUAUAUUUAUAUAUAAGUUGACACUAAACAAAUGCAGAGAUUAUUGGAUACUCAUUGAGAUUAAGAUCAUGGAACAAAAAAUAAAUGUGUGGGACUCAAUGAAAAAGACCUGGCACUCUAUCAAGGCAUAAUAGACAUUGUUGACGGUCCUUAAUGCUCACAUUUAACUGUCAACUAAUCAUGGAAAAGGACCUAUAUGCAACCAACACCUAAAAUUAGGGUUUCAUCUCACAGAAUUCCACGAGUUUUGGUGUUUGUCUAUUUCUGCAGGGGGUUAUCAGGAAAUAUGGAGGAAAGGCCCACAUGUCGGUUGUAACACCCUAGGUGUUAAACAUGCACUUAGUCUCAUCAACUUAUACAUAAGCAUUCUCAUCAAGCAUAGCAUCACAUGAGCAUGUCAUUCAUUCAAAGUGUGAUUUUAUGUGCUUUAUUUUAUGUGAAUUAAAUGUGGUAAAAAUAUUAUGCUUGCUUCUAAAUUCUUGAAUUGCCCAAAUUAGGUUAAAAUAUGUGUUAAAAGAUUUAAGAGUAAUUUUGUGAUAUUUUUGGAGCUAUAGAAAUUAAGAAAUUGAUUUUAUACAAAAAUUCCCAAAAUAGAUUUAUUUGAAAACCUAUAAAUAGUUUUGAGUUGUAUUUCAAAAUCUAUUUGGAAUUUGUGAAUUCAACCUAAAGAAAAGUUGUAGGGUUUUUGAUUUAGAACAACUUUUGUUUUGGAAGAAAAAGGUGAAAAUGAUUUUAAAAUAGUCCAAAUGAAUUUAGAAAGAGUUUGAGAAAAGAAAUUCUAAAAAAAUGGAAAAGGGAAAGGGGGGCGCUAGCAGGCUGCGGCCUCACUUCUGGCCCGCUAGCCGAAGCCGGCCCAGCCCGCCCGCGCCGUGCCGCCGUGGCACGCCGGUAGAGCUCGGCCGCCGCGUGGCGAGCAUGCGGCAGCCUGGAUGCGCCCCGGUCGGCCACCAGGAGCGCCCGACCGCCUCCGUCUCUGCCUCCGCUACCAUUUGCGAUCCUCUACUCGCGCUCUUGCCUUUCGCUCGCCCGCGCGCCGCAGCUGCCGCUCCGCCGCGCGCCAUCGUCGCCGACGACUUGGAGCUUCUCUCUCAGCCAGCUCCGGCCUCAUCCUUCCUCUCCGCGACCGCCAACAGCUCCGCCUCGUCAUUCCGCGUCGCGUGCUCGCGCUCAACCGCACUCGGUGAGUCCCCGCGCGCCCGGGAGAGCUCACCAGAGUGAGUCGGGACUCCGGUGACCUUUCGUUCCGCGUUGUUCUCCCCCUCUACUCCGCCAUUUCUUGCGCUUUUAGGUGUGUUAGCUUCGCCUCGGCCUCGCGAACCGAUUCCGGCCGUUCGAGCACGCUCUACCGCCGCGUGGUGGCCGGACCGCGGCGAGCAGUGCCGCCGUUCCACCAUGGCCGGUGGCGAGCUUGCUCCCAUCCGUUGCCGCGGAAGUAGGUUCGCUGAGUUCGCCUUGAGCCGUAGAACGCGUAGAGCCACUUGGUUCGCCGAGAGAGGCCGCCGACGGUGAGCUCCGCCUCGCCGGAGUCGCCCUCUCUCUGUGUUCUGGCCAGCGGGCCCGGCUAUCAGGCGGGUCCGUCUCGUCAGUGGCCGCGGGUGCACUGCACCGGGUGCACCUAGCUGGUCCCGGGGGUGGAUUUGAAUUGAUUUUCAGAAAAUGCUUUCCGGAAAAUAGUUUAAAUGAUAUAAAAUCCAUAUCUUGAGAUAUAUAGCUCCAAAAAUGAUGAAAUAAAUUGUGGAGUGUUCUAUAAUUCUAGAUCUACAGUUUAGUAUAGUUGCAUGUCUUGUUUAAACAACUUUUCUGUGCAAAUAUAUUUAAUCCAUGUUUUUGCUGAGAAUUGGAAAAUGCAUAGUAAUUAAAAUAUAGUUCAGAAAAAUAUGAAACUUGUUUUGUUGGCUCUGCAUGGAUGAUUAGGCUCUGGGAAAAUUAUGUUACACAUUAUUUGCUGUAUGAAUUAAUUUAUUGUGAUUUAAAUGCUUGCAUGGCAAUGGUUUAUGAUUUUUAAUAAAUAAUUGGAUCAUGCAAUUAAACUACAAAUUUUUGUGGGUAUUUCUUAUGUUAUUAAGUAAAUUAUAAAAAUAUGAAAUCUGCUAUUUGACACUUAUACCACAGUAGGGUAUUUAUACAUGAUUAUAUGGAUUAAUCUUGUGAUUUUUGUAGCCCAAAAUAAAUGUCCAAAUAUUAUGAAAAACUUAUGGUAGACUUUAUGGUUGACUAGUAGUCUACUCUAAUUUUUGUGGAAUUUUUUGUUAAACAGAGAUAUAUGUUACUUUGUAGGUCCAAGAGUGAUUAAAUAAAAUAAGAGUGGUUAUGCAUGAAUUAAAUAGAAUAAAAGAUUGUUUGGUGUAUCUUUGAAGCAUCUUGUGAGCUUGCUGGUUAACCAUGAAGACAACUUGUAGAAGAGAAUGCAAUAUAUGCUUAGUUCGAUUGUUUAUUCUUGGGUGAUGUUGACUACCUCGUAAAAGUGACCACUUAUAUCAUCUAUACACCAUGUCAUAGUCAUCUGUUACCCACUUGCAUAAGCAUUGUAUCUCGGGCAUCUCGCACUCCACUCAUGAGCACACAUGCAUCAUACAGGCUCGCAGGAGAACGAGGUGGGACCCGAGGAGCAAGAGGAGACCCUGGAGCAGGAACCUCUGGGAGGACUAGAGACCGGAGAGGAGCUGUAGGAGUGCCCGGACCACAGACCGAGCACGUUUGAGAAAGGCAAGCCCCCGAGCAUUCUAAGUCUCCCUAUUCUCGCUAACUUAAAUGAGAUAUUAUGUUUGUUCUACUAUGUUGCAUUUAAGUGAUAGGAAUUGCUUGAUACCGUUGAUGCAUAAGUACUCCUUGAUAUCACCACUUGUUUAUCUACCUUGUCCUAUGUAGAUAGGCACAGAGUCCAUGCUUAGUUUGCUUAGUCCGGUAGAAGUUGGGUGAUUUCCUGUCACCUGCGAGAUAUAGGUGGACACCUGUUUGAUUAGCUGUGAUUGCUAUGAGGAUGAAUAACCAAGUGUGGAAAGGAAUUUGAGACCGGGCAGGGUCUUGUGGUGGGUUGAUCAUAGUGCCCCUGCCUGUGUCGAUUAAGGACCGAUCGUUGACGGCCCUCUUGUCAUGUUGAACGCAUGCCCCACACUUAGCUGGAAGGAUAAGUCGUUCCGACCGCGAAGCCUGAGCACUAUCUGGGCCGGGAAUCGGCCCGAUGUACGCGCUGUAUUGGUGAUGGUUGAGGAGAACGACGAGGGCGCAGCGCACAACCUUUGUAUACGUUGGAUACCUCGGCUGCCGGAACGGUCCUCGGGUACGGGCGGUGCCUGUCGAACCCGCGAAUUGGUCGUGGAUAAUGCAACACGGUGAUCUGUAGCUCACUUGAUCAGUGUGUGUGGUUUGUGUGGGGAAUAAACUCACCAGCUGGUCAGAAAUCGAUUCGAAUCGCCAUCACUCCUGGAUAGUGAGCACUUGACAUGAGCCCUGUCCUCGUAGUAAGGACUAUGGAACAUUUGGGUUAUGAUGAUAAAUGAUUUAUGAAUGCUAUGAUGAGGUACCAUCAUAUUACUACACUUGCUUGUAAUAGUACAGGUGCAAACCUAGAUAAUAGGUACGAUAUUAUCAAACUUGAGCUAAUGAAAAGAAGAAAGGUCUCUAGGCUAUGUUUUAGCGGAAUAAUGCUUUUAUGAAAAGAGUCUCAGCUUCCCCACCAUACAGCCUUCAUGAUCCUUGAAGAGUCUUGAUUUUUGGUUUAUGACGGGUAAGUCUAGCUGGGUACAUUCUCGUACUUAGGGUUCUAUUCCCGUGUUGUUUUGCAGAUGGUCAAAUGUAUUAUGGUUAUUGCAUCCUCUGCUUGUACCCAGCAAUGGGUGACGACUAGACCAAGGGCGAUGGUCACUCUCGCUUCUCUUUUGCUUUUGUGGGAAUAACCGAACUAUGGCACUGUAUCAAACUAAAUGUGUGUGUUUUAUUUUCAAACUAUGAAGCUUCCGCUACGUGAGAACUUGGUUUGUAAUAAUUUUAAGUACUCUGAUGUAUUUGAUGAAUGUUGUGAACUGGAUGUAAUUGUGAAUGGUGACCGCUGAACUUAUUACGAUCUUGGCUGUAUGUAUGAUUUGUGGUUUGAAAUCCUUCGAGAUUUCAUGGACUACCGGGAUUAUAUGGGCUUAAGCUCGGUGGUUUGACUGUGCAAAUGGUCACUAUCAAGCUUAAUCUCUUAUAAUUUGGGCGGUUCUGUUACAUCGGGUUUACACAGAGAUAUUAACGUGUGCGCCAAUUUUCUAUCAUCUAGAAGACUUCAGAAGCCAUGGGAACGAACGGGAGGCCGAGCGGGCCCGAGGGCUGGGUGCGCGCCCUCCCCCCUUCGGCAACUGCCCUGCCCUGGUGACCAAUCAGGGCAGGUCUCGCGGAUCGUGCUCCAUCGCCUUUGAGGAUCAAGGAAAACCGUGCGAUUAAGGUCGGUUUGAUCCGACGGCCCUCGUUCAUUUGGAAGGGCUAUAUAAGCAGGCCCCCUUGCCCCUGGAGAACAUAUCACUUCUACAGAAUCAAAGCUAGGGUUUCAAUUAUUCAUCCAAGUAGAGAGGAUCCCUCUAGUUCAUCUAGUUCUAGUUCAUAUAGUUCUAGUUAUAGUUAGUUCUAGGUUUAAUCUAGAAAAUAGGGAGAGGGAAGAGGAGAGCGGAGGAGGAGCCGGAUCUGUCGGAUCGUCCUCAACAUUGUACUUUUGCAGCAACUGGUUCGUUCUUCAUCGUUCUCCAAGUUCUUCAAUUCAUAAUUCCUGAGUUCUUCAAUUACUUUUAUUUACAUUCAAGUUAUUUUUUGGAUUCCCGCUUGCAUCAAGUGCUCUGUUCUUUAUAAUGCUAGAGUAGUAAUUAAUAGAUUAGACGUGGUGUUUAGUCUUGCAAUUACCUGGAAUUGCACCCAAUCCUGCGGAUUGUUGUGGUAGCCCUAGGGUAGUGACAGCCCUAACGGUCGACGUAUUCCACCUCGUUCGAAUCAGUGUUUGUAGGACCAUAGUCAGAGCUUCCUAGCCCCCUUCUCAUCUCUUUCUGUGGUCAGUGUUCUGAUGUCCCAAAAUAAAUAAUCUUUGAAGUAAUUCUUGAUUCUUAGAUCAACUAGAGAACUCUUAGGAAACUUCCUCUCUUCCCACCAAAAAUAAUUAUAUAGUUAUCCUUCGGAGAUCUUGAAUCUUAAUUAGUACACUCACGUUCCCUAUGGAAAAUCGAUACCCUAGAAUACUCCUGGGUGAAAGCUACAUCGAUAUCCGUGCGCUUGCGGAUUUUUCUGUUUGCGUUUAAAAUACCCAACAAGCUUUCUGGCGCCGUUGUCGGGGAACGAUAGUUGUGCUAGUUUCGAACCAAGUCAUCCGUGUAUCCUUUUUCUUUUCCUUUUUUUACCACACUCACCUUACAAUUUUCACCACACCACAUGGAUUUCACUCCUAUCUAUAAAUUAUUUGCUCCAAAGGGCGAGUUAUUAGAGCCACCACCAUCAUCACAUCCAAUUCUUACAGAUGGUUACGACCUCGGCCUUGAUCUAGUAGCGAUGAUUCAGGAGCAACCCGAAGUAGAUGAAUAUCCAUACACCCACGUUAGAGAAUUCGAGCAGUUGUGCUCUUGCCAAUCUAUUUCCGGCAUGACACAAGAAACCCUUAAAUGGAAAUUAUUUCCGUUCUCCCUUUUGGGUAGAGCAAAAAAGUGGUAUGCUCAUUUUGUAGGAGGCGUUAAUGGAAAUUUGGAUGAACUUCAGGACAACUUUUGUCUCACUUUCUUCCCACUUUUUCGAAACGCUGACCUUAGAAUCAAAAUUCUUACAUUCAAACAAAGAGAGAAGGAAACUUUAGGAGCAGCUUGGGCUAGGUUCACAAACCUUACCAAUUCUUGUCCAAACCUUUACCUGCCUGACCAUGUGCUAUACUACCAUUUUUAUCGUGGUCUAAACAAGGAAGCUGCUCUUCACCUCGACAUUGCUUCAGGAGGCUCAUUCUCACACAAACUCAUAGAUGAGGGGAGAGCUAUCCUAGAGAGAAUCCUUGAAAAUACACCUUACACAGGCAUUUAUGAUGAGUUUCCUGAAGAAGAAAAAGAAGUCGAGCCUAAUCCUAAACCAAAAGAAGAGGAACUUGCAACUGAGUUAGAAAUUCCACCUGACCCAUCUAUUAAUUUGGCUGUAGAGAAACCUCCUGAUAAGGGAAUGCAAAACCAACUAACGGAUAAUGAACCACCACCCUUAGAGCAUCCCUUUGAAUUCGAGGAAGAUCUUUUUGAAGAUUAUGGAAACACCUCAAAUUUUCCUAUCCAAACACGACCUCUAGCAGGGACCACUCAAUCCGUUCUAAGAGUAGAAUCUGUUGACAUAGAACACAUCAAAAGCCUUUCGGCUAUUCUGAGUUAUGAAUGGCUAACAGAAGUAGAGCUGUCACCUAAGGUAGCUCGGAUCAUCACUCCGUCAACAAUUCUUCUGUGCCAAAUUAGAGGGUCCGCUAGCAAGGUCCACUACAAUCCAUAUGUUGGGAUAAAUGUAAUUUCCAAGGAGUUAGCUGACACUCUUUAUCCCAACGAGUCCAUAACCCCAUCUCAAAAACUUUUACAAAGUCCAUCUAGAUUAAUUCUAGAAAGCUAUGGGGUAUUAAGGGCAGUUCCUAUUAGAAUCAAGGACUCUGGAAUAUGUCUAGAUUUUCACAUUUUUGACAUACGAGAGAUUCCUCUCUUGAUUGGCGGACCAAUCAUGAAACUUCUACAAGAACAACCACAACGAGGUCAUUUAGACUUCAAGGAUGGGAAUUCCACUAUUGUUGUUCCUCUUGCCAGAUCAAUUAACACGAUAGUGGAACCCAAACUUGAAUCAGAUCCUAUGGAGGAGAUCUUAAUGCUGACUCAAGAGGAGAUGGCCCAACCAUUCUUGAAUCAUGAACACUUUGUUCAAGAAGAAGAAGAGUUGGUAGAACCCAUUGAGCUAGACAAAAAUGAACAACCUUCACCUCCUUCGAUAGAGUUCUUCCUUCUGGCCUUAGAUAUGUCUUUUUGCACAACAACCCAAAAACUCCAGUAAUUAUCAGUGACAAGCUUUCCGAUUAUGAAACACAACAACUUGUCACUGUUCUUGAAAGGCAUAGAUCAGCAUUUGGCUACUCUCUCGAAGAUCUCACGAGCAUUAGUCCCAUUCUCUGCACUCAUCGUACCCCUAUUGAUCCUAAUUUUACACCUUCAAGGGAACCACAACGGAGACUUAACAAUGCUAUGCGAGAGGUUGUUAAGAAAGAGGUCCUCAAACUCUAUCGUGCUGGGAUUAUUUAUCAUGUGCCACAUAGUGAGUGGGUUAGCCCUGUCCAAGUAGUGCCAAAGAAAGGAGGAAUGACGGUGGUUUCGGAAUGAGAAGAAUGAACUCAUCCCUCAACGAAUUGUCACUGGGUGGCGUAUGUGUAUUGACUAUCGAAAGCUCAACAAGGCUACAAAGAAAUAUCACUUUCUGUUACCCUUCAUUGAUGAAAUGUUGGAACGGCUUGCAAACCACUCUUUUUUUGUUUCCUUGAAGGUUAUUCUGGAUAUCACCAAAUCCCAAUCCACCUAGAUGACCAAGAAAGGACUACCUUUACAUGCCCGUAUGGAACUUAUGCAUAACGACGAAUGUCGUUCGGAUUGUGUAAUGCUCCAGCUUCUUUCCAACGGUGCAUGAUGUCUAUUUUCAAGGACAUGAUUGAGAAGAUCAUGGAGGUUUUCAUGGAUAAUUUUUCCGUCUAUGGCAAAACCUUCGAUCAUUGUUUGGAGAAUUUAGAUAGAGUCUUGCAGCGAUGUGAAGAAAAGCACUUAAUCCUGAACUGGUAGAAAUGCCAUUUUAUGGUUUAGGAAGGAAUAGUGCUAGGACAUAAAGUGUCUGAACGUGGUGUAGAGGUGGACAAAGCAAAGAUUGAAGUUAUUGAAAAACUUCCACCUCCUACGAAUAUGAAAGGAAUACGUAGCUUUUUGGGACAUGCAGGGUUCUAUAGACGCUUUAUCAAGAACUUCUCUCAAAUUGCUAGACCCCUAACUAGUCUCCUAGCUAAGGAUGCACCUUUCAUCUUUAGUGAUGAGUGUCAUGAAUCUUUUCAAACUCUUAAGAAAGCACUCAUCUCAGCCCCAGUUAUCCAACCACCUGAUUGGAAUCUUCCUUUCGAGAUCAUGUGUGAUGCUAGUGAUUUUGAGGUUGGUGCCGUUUUAGGACAAACCAAGGAUAAAAAGCAUUAUGCCAUAUCCUACGCUAGCAAAACCUUGUCUGGACAACAGCUCAAUUACACUACAACUGAAAAAGAGCUUUUGGCUGUUGUCUUUGCUAUAGACAAGUUUAGAUCUUACUUAGUGGGGGCAAAGAUAAUCAUCUAUUCAGACCAUGCUGCUCUCAAGUACCUCCUCACUAAGAAAGAUGCUAAGCCUCGUCUAAUUCGAUGGAUUCUUCUACUCCAAGACUUUAACAUAGAAAUCCGAGAUAGGAAGGGAGUAGAGAAUUCCAUAGUCGAUCACUUGUCUAGGCUUCAAUAUAAGGAAACACAUGAUGAGCUUCCCAUAAAUGACUACCUAAGGGAUGACACCCUGCUUAAGAUAACACAUGCAGAUCCAUGGUACGCAGACAUCGUAAACUUUAUAGUAAAAGGCUAUGUCCCACCGGGUACAAACAAAAGGAAGUUACUUCAUGAUAGUCGUUUCUACCUUUGGGAUGAGCCAUAUCUUUUCCGAGUCUGCGCUGAUGGACUCUUGAGGAGGUGUGUUCCUAUGGCUGAGGCUACUCAAAUUAUGGAAAGAUGCCAUGCCUCGCCAUAUGGAGGACACAAUGGAGCAUUCCGGACACAUGCUAAAAUUUGGCAAAGUGGUUUUUUCUGGCCAACGAUGUAUGAAGAUAUUGGACUUUGUCAGGAGAUGCCACAGAUGUCAAAAACAUGGGAAUAUCAACUCGCAAAAUGAAAUGCCUCUCACAAAUAAUCUUCAAGUAGAACUUUUCGAUGUAUGGGGCAUUGAUUUCAUGGGCCAUUCCCUAUGUCUGGGAAUUACGAGUAUAUCUUAGUAGCUGUGGACUACGUGUCCAAAUGGGUAGAAGCCCUACCUUGUUGAUCAGCUGAUUCAAAACAUUCCAAGAGAAUGUUCCAUGAAGUAAUCUUUCCUCGCUUUGGUAUACCUCGGAUAGUUAUAAGCGAUGGAGGUUCCAACUUCAUCGACAAAAUCUUCCAGAAGUACCUAGCCGAUCUUGGAGUUCGACACAAUGUCGCAACACCAUACCAUCCUCAGACUAGCGAUCAAGCCGAAACAUCUAACAAACAAAUCAAAAAUAUUUUACAAAAGACCGUAGAUGAGAUGGGUAAGGGGUGGAAAGACAAACUUCCUGAUGCACUUUGGGCAUAUAGAACUGCAUUCAAAACACCCAUAGGCAUGUCACCUUAUCAACUUGUAUAUGGAAAAACUUGUCAUUUGCCUGUGGAAGUAGAGUUUAAGGCUCACUGGGCACUCAAGAAAUGGAACAUGGAUCUCCACCUCGCUAGCGAGAAUCGUCUGAUGCAACUAUCUGAGAUAGAAGAAUGGAGAGGGAAAGCCUACCACAAUUCAAGGAUCUAUAAAGAGAGAACAAAACGAUGGCAUGAUAAGAGAAUCAAGCACAAGGUGUUUAAGCCUGGAGAUAAGGUUCUACUAUUCAAUUCAAGAGUUAAGCUCUUUGGGCAUGGUAAGCUACGAAGUAAGUGGGAUGGACCAUACAAGGUUAUUUACACUUCAACUCAUGGAGCCAUUACCAUCCAAGACGACAUAGGUAACACUUUUAUGGUAAAUGGUCAACGCUUGAAAAUCUAUCUCGAGCCACAAAACAACGUGGUAGAGGAACUUGAUGUGAUUGAGUUCAUAGAAUUCUCACAUUAAGCUCUCAUAAGCUCUAGACAAUUACCUAACCCUUAACAUGCUCCACGAGUUUUGUUGUCUAUUUGGGUUGUGCAGGAUAUUGAGGCUUAAGAAGAGUGAGACCGAACAUGCAGGCCACAAAGAGUGAAUGACUAUGUCAUCAUCGAGCUUGGGGGAGGCACCCCCACAUGUAUCUAGAUAAGUAUUACUUUUCUUUCUUGGUUUUAUUUACUAGUAUUCGGAAAUAAAUAAAAAAAAUGCAUAACCAUGAAACCAAACAAAGUUUUUCUUUUGAGUAAUACACAAUAGUUUUGUGUAAUCCUAAGUUUUAAAUAAAAUAAAAAGAAAGUCUGAUCCAAGUCUAGGUAAUUGAUAAACAUGAUAUGAGAAAGUCUGAGCUACUAUUUAACUUGUUCCAAGUUUCGCUAGAGUUCUAGAGAUUUUAUCUUUUGAAAAUCUUUAAAAAAUGAGAUCCUGUUUGACAUAAUACCUUGAGUCUUAUAAGAUAUUGUCGAGGGUGUCAAUAAGGGGUACCCAAACUAAUACGCAUAACAACAAUACCCGUACACCGAGGCCCCUGACUCGACGUCCCAGAUUCAUACGCUCGAUUGCCAAAACGCGAUGACGACCAUAUCCUCGAAUAUGGAGAAGGGGUCAUGCGAAUCGGCUGAGGCUUGACUAAGCAUCGACCAUCGAAUACAGAACUGGCUCAUACGAAUCGACAGGCCUCGAGUGCAAGGACGCCGCCCGCCGCUUGACAUGGGUACAAGAACCAGGGCAUUUAAUGCGCCUGUUGCGUACUUGUUGACGGUUCUUAAGUAUCAAUUUUAAUUAUCAAAUAAACAAGAGAAAGGACCAAUAUGCAACUAACACCUAGAAUUAGGGUUUGAUCUAACAGAAUUCCACGAGUUUUGUUGUUUAUCUAUUUCUUCAGGGGGUUAUCAGAAAAUAAGGAAGAAAGGCCCACAUGUCGGGAUUACAUAGAGAUAUCAACACACCGCACGAUUUUCCACCAUCUAGAAGACUCCAGAAGCCACGGGAAGAAGACGGAGGCCGAAAGGGGCCAGGCCCAGGGCGCCCGCCCUGGUGACCUGGGCGCCCGCCCCCUGCUGGAUUGCUUUCAGCACUCUCUUCGCUCGGGAUAUUCCACUGACCUAUUGGAUCGAGAAAAACAUAGUACCACCUCGCCUAUCGACCCAAAAACGCAGAGAAGGGGAGGACUAUAUAAGGAGACCCCCCUGGCCCCUGGAGAAGACAUGAAGAAAUUAUCAUAGAGACUGAGGGGUGCCGAAGGAAAACCUCUUCUCUAAUUAAUAUUUCUUUUUAGGCUUAGCAAUCAAUGUAAGGUAGAAAUAGAUCUUCUAGUUUCUACUAGAUUGAGAGAGAUAGAGUGGAGGUGUUGAUUGGAGGAAGCCCGGCCUGUCGGUGUCUAUUCCAAGCUUGUACCUGCGGGAUCAAGUUCUCCUAACCCGAAGCUUGCUCCUAGGAUUCUUCAGUAAUUCGACUUCUAAAUUCUAGUAAGUUCUUGUUUUAUUGUUCUUAUGGUUUAUGAGUUUACUUUAAUCUCUUCGCGUAGAGUUUAGAGUAAUCAUUGCUGGCGUAAACGUGGUGUUUAGGCUGGGGUACUCAUAGAUAUUCCCUGACUAGCUGGACCGUGGUAGUAGUGAGGAACGUGACAAUUCCGAGCUACCUUUGUAGAUCACAUCUCGUUAGCAGGAAGGAUAGGGUUUAUAGGUGCGGGUUGAACAUCCUUUGUGGUGUCUAGAUUCCGUUAGCCUCCCCAUUAGAACAGUAGAUCAUCCUUACCAAGGUUAGAAGGAGACUACGGUUGCAGUCUUCUCUAUUUAUCACUCACAUCGAAAGACAUUCUUUGUGCCUAAAGGUUAGUAGUAAUAGACCGGUUAGUCAGAUGCACUCUUUCUCCUAGUGGUAAAAAAAUAAAUACGAUACUCUGGAUAAUUUCCCGGGUGAAGUGCUCACCGAUAUCCUGAGAAAGACGGUUGGUGAGAUAACCUGAGUCUUGCUACUAGCUUGUAUCUAUGAAUCUUUUAUCUUUUAUAUUCUUUAUUUUCUUUACUCUUACCUUAUGGAAAACCAAAAUUCUAAAUCAAUCCAUGAAUCUGCAAUCCCUUUAGCAACUGACCUUUUACCAUGGGAGUCAUCACAGCCUGUCCAAACAUCCCAGUAUAAGUUAAGUUCUAGGUUGAUUGCCAUGAUUCAAAACCUAUCUUUUUCGGGAAAGGAAGACGAAAACCCUUACCUUCAUAUUAGAGAUUUUGAGCAAACAUGUGAUUGUCUUCGCAUUGAAGGCAUUUCUUAUAAAACUUUACGUUGGAAGCUUUUUCCUUUUUCCUUAAGGGGAGAAGCUAGACAAUGGUACAGUCAGAAGGUAAGUCAACAACAAGGUGAAUGGGGAGUUUUACGAGCCAACUUUUGUCUAGAUUUAUAUUCCCUUGACCGUAUAGCCGACCUUAGACUCGAAGUCCUAUCUUUUAAACAAAAAGAUAAUGAAACUUUGGGGAAAUCCUGAAAACGUUUUUCUGAUCUUUUAGAAUCUGGUCCAAACCUUAAUCUUGAAGACCCUGUUCUUUUAUUUCACUUUUUUCAAGGUCUUCAGAAAAAUCACAAACAAAUGCUACACACAAUGUCUAGAGGUUCUUUCUUUCGCAUCCCUGCUGAUGAAGCUAGAGUGAUCCUAGAUAGAAUCCUAGAAGCUGAGAUGGAUAAUACCCUUCAUGAUGAAACCUACGAAGCUGAAGUAGACACUCUGCCAAAUUCUUCAUCUACUUUAGCUAUCCCAAGUUCUGAGCCACAAGAGGAAGAAAUUCCACCACCGGACUUCAUGCUGGAUAUAGAAUCCGAUCUUUUUGCCGAUUUUGGAAAUAUUUCAAACUACCAUUCUAUUGACAAACCCCAAAACGGCCAAUUUAGCAUUUAUUUGCCAAGUGAAUAUCAAUUGAGAGAGCUUAUCUCAGUAAUGAGUAGCGAAUGGUUGGAGGAAUCAGAGCUUUCCUCUAAUGUGAUCCGUUUGGACACAGCCUCUAUAACUAUACGCUGUGCUUAUAAUUCUGAUCGAUUUAAUGCUCUCUAUAAUCCUAUUGUGGGGAUCAACAUCAUGUCUGAAUAUUUUGCACUUAAACUAUUUAAAAAUCUUGUCUUAACCCCCACAACAAAGGUCAUAAAGGAAUCUUCGGGACGAUUAGUCCCCAGUCUUGGAAUUAUUAAUGUCCUACCUCUUACGGCAGAAGGAUCCAUGGUUCAUUUGAACUUCUAUAUCUUUGAUACAUGGGACUUCGACCUGUUAAUAGGACAACCUUUUAGAAGACUCCUUUAUGAAGGUCAUACUAGAAAGCUACACAUUUCUUUUGGAAAAACUUUUAAAUUCCCAAUAACAAUUUCACACUCCUUAAACAAUAAGGCCGAGUCAUAUCUUUUGCCUGAUCCUAUGGAGGAAGUAAAGGCUGCAUCUCUAGAGCUUUUAGAUGAACCAGACUUAGAAGACGAAACUCCUUUCUUCACAGAAGAAGAAGACGAACCUUCUGAGCCUGAACACUUAGAUGAGUUUGCAGAAACACCUAGACCCCCCAUAGAGCUUAAAACUUUACCACCCGGUCUUACUUAUGCUUUCCUAAACAAUAAUCCAGAGUUCCCUGUGAUCAUUAGUGAUAAACUCACUCAGGAUCAAACUCUGCGAUUAAUGACCAUUCUUGAGAAACAUCACUCAGUUUUCGGCUACUCACUCCAAGAUCUUACAGGAAUCAGUCCUAUGAUUUGUACCCAUCGUAUUCCAACAGAUCCUUCUGUUUCACCCUCUCGAGAACCCCAACGUAGACUUAAUAAUACUAUGAGAGAGGUAGUUAAAAAGGAAGUUAUAAAGUCGCUGCAUGCAGGGAUUAUAUAUCCUGUGCCGCACAGUGAGUGGGUAAGCCCAGUACAAGUUGUGCCCAAAAAGGGAGGCAUGACUGUUAUUAUGAAUGAAAAGAACGAGCUAAUUCCGCAACGCACCGUCACAGGAUGGCGGAUGUGCAUAGACUAUAGAAAACUAAACAAAGCCACAAGAAAAGAUCACUUUCCUUUACCUUUCAUAGAUGAGAUGCUAGAGCGGUUAGCAAACCAUUCAUUCUUUUGUUUCUUAGAUGGAUAUUCAGGGUAUCAUCAAAUCCCGAUCCAUCCCGAUGAUCAAAGCAAAACCACUUUUACAUGCCCGUAUGGAACUUAUGCUUAUCGUAGAAUGUCUUUUGGGUUAUGUAAUGCACCAGCUUCUUUUCAAAUAUGCAUGAUGUCUAUAUUUUCUGAUAUGAUUGAAGAGAUUAUGGAAGUUUUCAUGGAUUAUUUCUCUGUUUAUGGAAAAACUUUUGACAGUUGUCUUGAAAACUUAGACAAGGUUUUGCAAAGAUGUGAAGAAAAGCACUUAAUCCUUAAUUGGGAAAAAUGUCAUUUUAUGGUUAGGGAAGGAAUAGUGCUGGGACACUUAGUGUCUGAAAGAGGAAUUGAGGUAGACAAAGCUAAAAUUGAAGUAAUUGAACAAUUACCUCCACCUGUAAACAUAAAAGGAAUUCGAAGCUUUCUUGGCCAUGCUGGUUUUUAUCGUAGAUUCAUAAAAGAUUUUUCAUUUAUUGCUAGACCACUUACUCUUUUGCUAGCCAAGGAUGCUCCUUUCGAAUUUGAUGAUGCAUGUCUAACAUCGUUCAAUUUAUUAAAGAAAGCACUCAUCUCUGCACCAAUCAUUCAACCCCCUGAUUGGUCGCUGCCUUUUGAAAUUAUGUGUGAUGCUAGUGAUUAUGCUGUGGGGGCAGUAUUGGGACAAACUAAAGAUAAGAAGCAUCAUGCAAUUGCUUAUGCCAGUAAAACUUUGACAGGAGAUCAACUUAACUAUGCAACCACUAAAAAAGAGCUUCUGGCUGUUGUCUUUGCCAUUGAUAAAUUUAGAUCUUAUUUAGUUGGAGCUAAAAUAAUUGUUACUAAUCAUGCUGCACUAAAAUAUUUGCUCACUAAAAAAGAUGCUAAACCUCGCCUGAUUAGAUGGAUCUUAUUACUCCAAGAAUUUGACUUAGAAAUAAAAGAUAAAAAAGGAGUAGAAAAUUCUGUUGCUGAUCACUUGUCUAGAAUGUAUUUCAAGAGUCCACAGGAAACCCCCAUCAAUGAUUCACUUCGGGACGACAUGCUCUACGGGAUUAACAGGUCUGACCCCUGGUAUGCAGAUAUUGUUGAUUUUAUGGUUUCAGGGUAUGUACCACCAGGAGCAAACAAGAAGAAGCUUAUUCAAGAAAGUCGUUCACAUAUAUGGGAUGAGCCAUACCUCUUCCAAGUAUGCUCUGAUGGCUUACUCAGGAGAUGUGUGACCAUUGAGGAAGGAUGGAAGAUCAUCGACAGAUGUCAUUCAUCACCAUAUGCCAAGGUCACUAUGGAGCAUUCCGUACACAUUCAAAGAUCUGGCAGUGUGGACUCUACUGGCCUACAAUGUAUGAAGACACGAGGCAAUAUAUCAGAAGAUGUGGGCCAUGUUAAAGACAUGGAAACAUAAAUACAAGGGAUGCAAUGCCACUCACCAACAACCUUCAGAUUGAGCUCUUUGAUGUCUGGGGAAUAGACUACAUGGGUCCAUUUCCUCCAUCAAAGAAGUGCGAGUACAUCUUGGUGGCGGUUGACUAUGUCUCCAAGUGGGUAGAGGCAUUACCUUGCAAGCAUGCUGACAACGUCAGUUCAAAGAGGAUGUUUGAAGAAAUUAUAUUUCCAAGAUUUGGAGUCCCCAGAGUAGUGAUAAGUGAUGGAGGAGCACACUUCAUCGACAAACGCUUCAAGCAAUAUCUAUCAAGACAUGGAAUCCGUCACAACGUCGCUACCCCUUAUCAUCCUCAGACAAGUGGCCAAGCAGAGACUUCCAACAAACAAAUCAAGAAUAUUCUUCAGAAGACAGUAAAUGAAAUGGGAACGGCGUGGAAAGACAAGUUACCUGAUGCACUCUGGGCAUACCGGACAGCAUACAAGACCCCAAUUGGAAUGUCUCCAUACCAAUUGGUGUACGGGAAGACUUGCCAUCUACCUGUUGAACUAGAGUUCAAAGCACACUGGGCCAUAAAGAGAUGGAAUAUGGACCUAGAUGUUGCUGGAGAUUAUAGAAGAAUGCAACUAUCAGAAUUGGAAGAAUGGUGAGAGAAGGCAUAUCACAACUCAAAGAUCUACAAAGAAAGAGUAAAAAGGUGGCAUGACAAGAGAAUCAAAAAGAAGGAGUUCACACCCGGAGAUAAGGUAUUACUUUUUAAUUCCAGGGUGAAGCUUUUCGGGCAUGGAAAACUCCGGAGCAAAUGGGAAGGACCAUUCAAGGUAAUUAAUUCAUCAUCCCAUAGAGCUAUCACACUUCAAAAUGACGAAGGUACGUUAUUCAAGGUAAAUGGUCAACGUCUUAAAUUAUUUUUAGAGCCCAAUGAGGAAUUUGAAGAAAUAGACGUAUUCCACUUUUACCUUCCCAUGGAGAAUUAGAGCCCGACCUUUUUAGUCUGAUGUUUUUGGGUCAUAUAUAUAUUUUUCUAAAUAAUUUCGUAUCUAGAAACGUGCUCGAGAAAGUGGGCCCACAGAGGGGCCAGAGAGAGGGCGGGCGCCCAGCUCAGGUGGGCGGGCGCCCAGCUCCUGUUCCCCCUCGGUCCCGAUUUUCUCUGUUAUGGAAAAUGCACUUAUGGUAAUUCGAAUAAUCCCUCGGAUGGAAAGUUUCCCACGCAAGUCGACGGGAGCAACCUGAACAACCCAUAGAGGCACCCUUUUGACCCCUAUAUAAACAGACCCUGACCUCAGUUUUCAAACACCAAGCCACCAAUCCUUCUCUCCUUCAAUUAGAGCUUGAUUAGCUCUCCUUAAAUUAGAGCUUGAUUAGUUCCUUGCUGCUCCAAUGGCCGAGAAGUACCACGAUGAUUGGGAAGUCGUCCCCUUCAACCUCAACAUGGAGCUUGUGGAAGACCCCGAUGCCCGUGCUCUCGUCCCGGCCAACACAGAGCGACAGCUAGAAGCUAUGCCAUUACGCCAACGCAGCUCCGCCCAAUCUUACAAUGCUCAACCAGUUCUCACCGCACCGCCACAACCCCUACUCCUCAAAGGAUCAUCAUCCAAGAUAAAGACCACUAUCAAGGUGCCAACCGGCACAAGGAUCCUUGCACCUAGACCCAAUGAGAGGGUCGUUGGAGUCAAGACCAACCGGAGCGGUGAGAUCAGCAGUAUUCGCUACACUACGGAGGAGGAAAGGCCUUUGAAGGGAUUAGACCAGCCAAAGUCCGUUUCAUCCCUCCAAAGGCAGCCCCGAAGCACUCUCUCAAUGCUUUUGAGACACCUCCCAAGCGUCGCAAGACUAUAAUGGAUAUUGAUGAGGAAGUUCGCAGGCUAGAUAGAGUUAUCAUAGAUCUCCAGUCCUCGAUCAACUCCCUCACUAGCCAGCUCUCUAACCACAACACUAUUAUACUAGGCCUUAGGCAGGAUCUUGCCAGUGCCAACAAGAAGAUCAAGGAAUUAGAGCGCCGCUAAGUUAUCUAGAUUAGACCUUGAGGCAAUGCAUUUUAGUUAUCUAUCUUUAAAUUCGGUUUAGGUUUGCAAUUAUCAUCAGUUUGCUAUUAUCAUCAGUUUGUUAUCAGUUUGCUACUAGUCUUUUGUAAUAAAUGCCUCAAGAUUAAUAAAGAGUAUUACUAUUAUUAUUAUUAUGUCUUGUGUGUCUCUACUUUAUUUUUGUGCAAGAAAGCAAAAAAACAAGUAUGGGGGAGAUCCCUCGACAUGCCAACCACACUCCUACUACACCACUCCACGAUUCAGGUACACACUCUGCACACUUUACACAUACAUAUAUUUUGGAUUAUGCAGAUUAUUGUUUCCGACAUGAUAAAAUAAAAAGAUUAAAAUAUUUCUAAUCAUGAUUAAUCUCAAUAUGUGAUAUUUCCUGAAAACUUACAAUUAUUGAAAAUCAUUUUAAAACCCUGUGUCACUUAAGUCAAUAUGGAAUAUGUGAUGGUAGAGUAUGAGUUUCUUAUUCUUGAUAUCAUUGUUGCUUGGAGAAUUUAUUUCAAAAUAUUCAAAAUUAUAGCUACCAUCCUCAGUGUUUUAUGGCUGAUAAGACUGAAAAUAUUAAUUAUAAUUAUAAAAGCUAUCUACUCUGUAUUGAGUUUGUUCAAAAUGAGUUAGACCCUUGUUGAGAGAUUUAUCAUGCUCCUAAGAUCAAGACAGUAUUUCAGAAAGAUUCACUCUUCCGAAGUAUUAUUGCAUUAGAGGCAUGGGCUAUGCAUAAAUAGAAAUAUUUCGAGGAAAUAAAAAGGAGCAAGUGCUCGACAACAUCGCAGAAAAAAAUGGACAAGUGUCCGGCAGUAGAAUUAGGGGUACCUCGGUAUCCACUUAAAAAAAAUAUACCCCAUGGUCCCUCUAAUAAGCAAUAUGCCAGCAAGAGUUGACAAAGAUUUUAAUUUCCAAAGUUUUUGAUCUAAGAGUAUGACAUUCCCCUCCUCGGAUCCCGUUUUGAUCAGGCAAUAAAUGCAAAGUAAGUAUGCUUGAGAAUUUUUGCAAAAAUAAAACAGCCUCAGUGAGAUAUAUACAAAAGAUAAUGAGUGAUCUGAGAGAACCUAUGAGGAUAAAAAGGUAUGCUAACUUUCUUUCAAAAAUAUACAAAAACUCCAAGUGACAGGAUUGAGAAGAAAGGAUCUCUACUCUUAACCAUAAACUUCCCUGACUAUGGUACAUAGUGGAAUUUUUAACACCCUGCAAUUAUAUAAAGAAUGUUUUAAAUGUUUUACCCCAGAUAUUGUUCUUAACCAUCCUUUUCUCGAGGACGAGUAAAAGCCUAAGUAUGUGGGUAUUUGUUGACGGUUCUUAAGUAUCAAUUUUAAUUAUCAAAUAAACAAGAGAAAGGACCAAUAUGCAACUAACACCUAGAAUUAGGGUUUGAUCUGACAGAAUUCCACGAGUUUUGUUGUUUAUCUAUUUCUGCAGGGGGUUAUCAGGAAAUAAGGAAGAAAGGCCCACAUGUCGGGAUUACAUAGAGAUAUCAACACAUCGCACGAUUUUCCACCAUCUAGAAGACUCCAGAAGCCACGGGAAGAAGACUGAGGCUGAAAGGGGCUAGGCCCAGGGCGCCCGCCCUGGUGACCUGGGCGCCCGCCCCAUGCUGGAUUGCUUUCAGGACUCUCUUCGCUCGGGAUAUUCCACCGACCUAUUGGAUCAAGAAAAACAUAGUACCACCUCGCCUAUCGACCCAAAAACGCAUAGAAGGGGAGGACUAUAUAAGGAGACCCCCUGGCCCCUGGAGAAGACAUGAAGAAAUUAUCAUAGAGAUUGAGGGGUGCCCUCGAAGGAAAACCUCUUCUCUAAUUAAUAUUUCUUUUUAGGCUUAGCAAUCAAUGUAAGGUAGAAAUAGAUCUUCUAGUUUCUACUAGAUUGAGAGAGAUAGAGUGGAGGUGUUGAUUGGAGGAAGCCCGGCCUGUCGGUGUCUACUCCAAGCUUGUACCUUGCGGGAUCAAGUUCUCCUAACCCGAAGCUUGCUCCUAGGAUUCUUCAGUAAUUCGACUUCUAAAUUCUAGUAAGUUCUUGUUUUAUUGUUCUUAUGGUUUAUGAGUUUACUUUAAUCUCUUCGCGUAGAGUUUAGAGUAAUCAUUGCUGGCGUAAACGUGGUGUUUAGGCUGGGGUACUCAUAGAUAUUCCCUGACUAGCUGGACCGUGGUAGUAGUGAGGAACGUGACAAUUCCGAGCUACCUUUGUAGAUCACAUCUCGUUAGCAGGAAGGAUAGGGUUUAUUGGUGCGGGUUGAACAUCCUUUGUGGUGUCUAGAUUCCGUUAGCCUCCCCAUUAGAACAGUAGAUCAUCCUUACCAAGGUUAGAAGGAGACUACGGUUGCAGUCUUCUCUAUUUAUCACUCACAUCGAAAGACAUUCUUUGUGCCUAAAGGUUAGUAGUAAUAGACCGGUUAGUCAGAUGCACUCUUUCUCCUAGUGGUAAAAAAAUAAAUACGAUACUCUGGAUAAUUUCCCGGGUGAAGUGCUCACCGAUAUCCGUGCGCUUGCGGAUCAAUUCCUUAUUGCGUUCCCAAAUAUCAACAGUUCUCACCUAACCCGGCAGUCACGGGAAGCGUGAUAGGGAGCAAGCACCCAUCCAAUCGCCCUUUUUGCAGCCUUGUCCACCAGAUGAACCAGAGUAGGUCAGGGCGCAGUGAGACGGUCGGAACGUCUUGUCACGACCCCCCUCGAGACGCCCAAAGUCAGCGCUCCUAUCAGCAAGGCUUUGCGUGGCGUUGGACCCUCGAGUGAACACUUUCCUUCCCAAAGAAGAGUCAGGCGGUGAAAGACAACACCUCAACAACUCUGACGCGACAGCAGCCACGACGUACAGGUGUGCCCACGGUUAAGCCGAUCCAGGACGGCGCGCAGGAGCCGAAUUCAGAGGCACGCGUAAUCAUCAUCCAAGUACUGAGUAACAAGACGGCUUGAGGCCACGCCAGUACGGAAGCCUCGAGUAGGUCAGCGCACCACGCAUCUAUCGACCCCUACUCUAUCACCUACGCCAUGUAACCUAGGUCACCCCUUGGAACUAUAAAAGGGUAGGCACAGGAAAGGAUAGGGGACACAAGACAUACCUAGAAGAACAACCACACUUCAUCUCCCACCAUCCACACAAUACCGACUUGUAUUCACCCCUGUACAAGCACUUAGGUGCAAGAUAAUAGAAACAUCUCCUCCCCACCCGACGUAGGGCCUUCUCUUGCCCGAACCAGGAUAAACCUUUGUGCCUUUCUUGCAUCACCAUCUGGGAAAGGGAACACGCACACAAGUUUCACUCGUUGGAGUGACCCCCCGUGGGGAAAACACCGAUAGAUAUAAAUAUUAAAACUGUGGGCAAUUGCUUUGUUCAAGUCAUUGUUUAUUUCUUGUGGUUUUGGUUGAGAGAAUUAUCAUGCUCCAAAGAUCAAGAUCGUUUUGUUUUAAAAAUAUAAAAGAUUCACUCUUCCGAAGUAUUAUUGCAUUAGAGGCAUGAGACUAUGCAAAAAUUUGAUUAAAAAAAAGAGUGAGACGAGAGGUAAAAAUGGACAAGUGUCCAAAGUAGAAUUAGGGGUACAAAGAUACCCACCUGAGUGGAAAAAAUGGACACAUGUCUGAUAGUAGAAUUAGGGGUACUUGGUGCCCACUUGAAAAAAAGAAAAAAAAGAGAGAGAGACUGAAAAAAAAGAGAGAAAAAAAAAUGAUAGCCCAUGGUCCCUCUAAUAAGCAAUGUGCUAGUAAGAGAUGACAAACUUUUCAAAAAGGUCAAAGGUAUUGAUGUAGGAGUAUGACAUUCCUCUCCCUUGCUCCGAGCAUUGACAUAGCAAAAUGCAAAGUAAGUAUGCUAAAACUUUUAAAGCUCUACUUAUAUAUCUUUCGAGAAGAAGGCAAAUGCCUCAGUUUUAUUUUGGAAACUUACAAAAAACUCCAGAACAAAGGUAAGACAGAAGAACUUGAGACAUAGUGCUUGACUUGAUCGUUCUGUUUUUCAAUCACUUAAGAGCUUAGUGAUAACUUAAUAACCCUGUAGUAAGAGGCAUAAAAGUAACCCCAGUUUUUUUCUGAUUUUAGCUUUGCUCAGGGACGAGCAAAGGUUAUGCUUGGGGGAGCUUGUUGACGGUCCUUAAUGCUCACAUUUAACCGUCAACUAAUCAUGGAAAAGGACUUAUAUACAACUGUUGGGUAUUUUAAACGCAAAGAGAAAAAUCCGCAAGCGCACGGAUACCGAUGUAGCCUUCACCCGGGAGUAUUCCAGAGUAUCGAUUUUCCACAGAGAACGUGAGUGUACUAAUUAAGAUCCAAGAUCGCCCAAGGAUAACUAUAUAAUUAUUUUUGGUGGGAAGAGAGGAAGUUUCCUGAGAGUUCUCUAGUUGAUCUAAGAAUCAAGAAUUACUUCAAGAUUAUUUAUAUCGGGACAUCAGAGCACUAACCACAGAAAGAGAUGAGAAGGGGGCUAGGAAGGUCUGACUACGGUCCUACAAACACCGAUCCGAACGUGGUGGAAUACGUCGACCGUUAGGGAUGUCACUACCCUAAGGCUACCACAACAAUCCGCAGGAUUGGGUGCAAUUCCAGGUAAUUGCAAGACUAAACACCACGUCUAAUCUAUUAAUUACUACUCUAAUGUUUCAAAGAUUAGAGCACUUGAUGCAAGCGGGAAUCCAAUAAAUAACUUGAAUGUAAAUAAAAGUAAUUAGAGAACUCAGGAGUUAUGAGUUGAAGAACCUAGAGAACGAUGAAGAACGAACCAGAUGUUGCAAAAGUACAAUGUUGAGGAAGAUCCGACAGAUCCGGCUCCUCCUCCGCUCUCCUCUUCUCUCUCCCUAUUUUCUAGAUUACAACUAGAACUAACUAGAACUAGAACUAGAGGAACUAGAACUAGAACUAAAUGAACUAGAACUAGAUCUAGAUGAACUAGAGGUAGAACUAGAAGAACUAGAGGGAUCCUCUCUACUUGGAUGAAUAAUUGAAACCCCUAGCUUUGAUUCUGUAGAAGAGGUAUGAUCUCCAGGGGCCAGGGGGUCUGGUUUUAUAGUCCCUUCAAGUGAAUCUGGGCCGUCGGAUCAAACCGACAUUGAUCGUGUGGUUCUCCUUGAUCCUUUAGGUCGGUGGAGCAUAAUCCGCGAAACGUGUCCUGAUUGGGCACUGUAGCUGGGCGGGCGCCCUGCCUCCGAGCCCGAUUUCCUUCCCGUUCGUUCCCGUGGCUUCUGGAGUCUUCUAGAUGAUAGAAAAUUGCGCGACACGUUAAUAUCUCUAUGUAAACCUGACGUGUGGGCCUUUCUUCCAUAUUUCCUGAUAACCCCCUGCAGAAAUACACAAACACCAAAACUCGUGGAAUUCUGUCAGAUAAAACCCUAAGUCUAGGUGUUGGUUGCAUUUGGAUCCUUUUCCAUGAUUAAUUGAUGGUUAAUUGUGAGCAUUAAGGACCGUCAACAAGCUCCCCCAAGCUUAACCUUUGCUCGUCCCUGAGCAAAGAUGAACUCAAGAGUUUCUGAAGUGGUUUCAUAACUUAAAGAUACACAUGCGUUUAAACAAGAUCUCAUAUCUGGUUAGAGUAAACUGUUAAGACUUAAAACUUACUCAUUUACCUUUCACCAUGGGACUUGUAACCGUCACUUCUGUCUUGAGUAGUUAAAAGAUAGAACGGUCUAGUCAAGCACCAUGUCUCUUAUUCUUGAUCAGCUAUAGCUCUAGAGUUUUUGCAGAUUUUCAAAUAAAACACAGAGAUUCCUUGUAUGACUCUCUCUAGUCUCUCUUUUGUGGUAUUUCUAGAUCCUUACCAAGGCAUUAAUGGUGUAUGCCUUCUCUCAAAGUAUGUGGUAUUUGUGGUAUAAGGCAUAGUGGCAUUGCCUUCUCUCUCACCCUACUCUUAUAAGGUUUUGAUAUCUGGAGCUCAUAGGUGGGAGACAGCUAAUACAUACUUACAAGACAUUUAUUGCAUAGUCAAACCAUGGAUCCAGAAGAACAAGUCAAUAAGUCAAAUCAAGAUGUGCAUGUGUGGUGAAUGAAUGGUGUAUGGUGAUGAUGGUUAUAACAAUGGUGAAAGUCUAAUUCUACUUAUGCUCUUUUGAGGGGAUACAUACCUUUCUUGCUCUUUUGAAACUUUUUGAGGAGAAUGAGAUGCUCUAUAUAUUUUUUUCUUUUCUCUCAGGUGGGUAUCUUGUGCCCCUAAUUCUACUGUCGGACACUUGUCCAUUUUUACCUCUCGUCUCACUUUUUUUUUAGGUUCCGGGCACUUGCCCCUUUUUAUUUCCUCGUAUUUAUUUUUUUUCUCUCUCUUUUUUUUCUUUUUUUUAGAGCACUCAUCUCCUGAAAUAAUAUAGCAAGUGGUAGUAACCAAGAUAACUUGUGCAUUUAUUUCACAGGGGAAAAACAGAAAUAUUUUUGGCUAUUCUCUCUCGGAUUAGGAGUAGAAUAUUUUUGGGUGGUUCUGGAGAUGGAAAUGGAUGGAUAUAUGUGGAUGCGUUCUUCCGAAGUAGAAGUAGCAUGUAUGAGUGAACGUGCAAGUGAAUCUUGAUUUAACCACAUGACAAGCUCCUAAGGGUCUACACAGCUUGACCACACUCAAUGCUCAUAAGUAGUAAAAAGUAAAUGUGUGGCUCAUAGUCUAACAAGCAUGUAUAUAUGGCUGUGGUAGGAAUUUAAACUCUCAUCAUACGGGAACUCAUCAUGCAACAUUUUAAAGAUUUUCAAAGAUAAAAUUCUCCAGAAUUCUAGCAUCCCUAGGAACACAUAAACAACAGCUUAACCUUCCCAUAUCAUAUCCGUUAACAACUUAGACUUUAGAUCAAGUACUCUCCCCACAAGUUCAGGUUUAGAGCAAAUCUUAAUUAAUAACAGUCAUGCCUAAACUUGAGAGAGAUUUCAAUUUUGAUAACUAGUCAUGGUAGAGCAACUAUUCAUCAUUUCCAUGUGAGAGCUUAUUAUGAGGGUUCAUAGCAAACUUUAUUUAUUUAUUUAUUUAGCAAGCUAAGCAAAGAUAUAUAUAAGCACAAAAUCUUUAUUUGGGUUUUUAUGAUCAUGCAUCUUUUUAUUAUUUGAGUAAAAUAUAAACGUGAGUAGAACACUUAGCUGGAUAAAUGGGGGUGCUCUCCCCCAAGCUGGAUUUUGACGUAAUUUCUUCUGAUGUAGCUAGCAGGUGGCGGAGGUGUAUUUGAAUGUCGGCAGCACUCUGAUAGCGAUUAGGAUGUCCUCCGUCUGCUAGUCUUCUUUGAUCCUUGAAUUUUGUGGAGCUCAAAUAGACAACAAAACUUUGUGGAACUAGUUAAGUGUUAGCAUAAAAACUCUUAGCCGUUAUCAUGUUGAGCUUCCUCUAAUAAAUUUUACUCUCUUUGGUAGGAUCAUAAAUCUAUUUUUAUAAUUUUAUUUUUAUAGGACAGGAAUAUAUUUACUUUAUUUUUAUGCCACCAUAGUGAAUGUACUUAUGGGUUUUAUGCCAUGAGCAUACUCACAUGGGGCUUACUUAACAUUUUUAUUUUCUAUUCAAGAUGAUAUGAACCAGAUUAACUAAGCAAACUAUUUUAAAAUAAUUGAAAGGAAAAAGAUAACUACCAAGUUUACCUCUUGGCAAGGCGUUCGGUGUUUUUAAGUCCUCCGAACGGGACUCUCCGUUUUCUCAGUCGUCCUGGAAUUCGCUGGAUGGCGUAGUCGGUGGUUCCGGCGGUGCCUCCUCUUUAUGUAUAACUAUCUUCUCUCUACACACCUGACUCGGUGCUACGGUCUCCUCAGGACAGUUCUGUUCAAGUUGUAUGUCUUCAGACCUUACGACUUCUCCUUCAUAGUCUGCCCAUCCGUCCUUGAUGAUUUGCCUCCUCUGGUUGCGGUUGCGUCGUCUUCUUCUUGCCCUGACCUGCUUAGAGUCAUCAGCUAUAUAGUUAGGGUCAGUAAAAUAGCGGCGUACCUUCUCAGAGGGGGAGUUCAUGUGGACUUCUCCGGUUCCAAUGUAGAUGAUUGCUUUAACAGUGCUGAGGAACGGUCUUCCAAGGAGGAUGGGUGGAUCGUACUUGUCUUCUCCCAUGUCAAUAACCUUAAAAUCAUCUGGAGCUAAAUGUAUGUUGGUUGUAGGGACAUGGUUCCAUGCAGGAGCUGAUAAGUGACUGCGGCCAUUAUAUUGACGUUAGAUCCGGUGUCGUAGAGUGUCUUCUGAAAAGAAUAUCCGUUGAUUGUGCACUCGAUGCUUGGGACACCAGGGUUGUCCUUCUUGAUCAAGAAAGGUGACUUGAGUUGACGAUCUUGACCUCCUUGAACUGCAGUGACCAUCUUAGCUGACUCGGUACACAUUUGCUUGUUCCUGUUCCUCCUGUUGGUCCUCUUCCUUGGUUCAUGUCGGGAAUGCUCUGAGAUUUGUGUAGUCUUGUUUCUUGAAGGAAAACGUCUCCUUCUUCCCCUUGAUGUAGAAACUGAUCUUGGCAGCACUAGCAUAGAUGACAGCUCUUGAGGUGUUCAGGAAUGGCCUCCCUAGGAUGAUGGGUGCCCUCUCAUCAGUACCAGUCUCUAUUACCAAGAAGUCUGCUGGGGCGUACAAGGUACCAACUCAGACGCAGAGGUUCUUCAAUAUCCCCUUUGGGAAACUUAGUGUCUGAUCUGCAAGCCUGAGCAUAAUGUUGACGCUGGAGCCAAAGUUACAGAGUGCUUCUAGGAAGUCCACCAUGCCGAUGGAGAUCGGGAUGACGAGACGUCCUGGAUUGUAUCUCUGGACCGGCAGAAGGUCAGUAAUUACUUACACAACGGGGUUACUCCAGUAGUUACGUCCUCAAGCAUCUUAGGGCAGUGAUUGCAUGAGUGUCUAGUAUCUCCAGUGUGUUUGUGCUCGUAGAUCUCGGUUCUUCACUUGGUGGAGUCUAGGAGUUGUAAAACUCCUUCAAAUUUUGCUCCAAGUGUACCUGCUCAUAGAGACAAGGCAGAGAUCAAGUGCAUGGGCCCUGUUGGUGGAAAACACCAACAGAACCAAAAGUGUAUUUGUUCUUCUCUAACCUCAAGCAUAGUGAGCAAGACAAAGUUGAUGGAUAAUAAGAUCAUGAGUGUAGCAUUUAAAACAUUUGUCAGAUCAGAUCACUCAACCUAAUGGAAAGAUAAUCUAUCUAUACUUAUGUGUUUUCUCUUUUUUUUUAUAUAUAUCUUCCAAAGAUUGUGUGUGCAACAUUUAGUGUGGGAUCACAAAGAUGGAAGGACUAAACAUGUUUAUUGGGUUGGUUAAUCUAGAGUUGUAAAUCAUACAUGUUUGUCUCUUUUAUUCAUGUGAACGCUAGAACGAAGGAGAAGCUUAUAAAAAAUGAUAGUCAAGUACCUUAAGAUGUUACCUUACUUGAAGAGUGAUGGUACAGUAUCACCUUGUGGAAGCUUUCCUCUCUUAGCGGUUGUGCAUCGUGUUUUUGGCACCCGCCAUGGAUCAUCUCUUGUGAGCUAUGCCUUCCUUGUGUAAAUUGUUAGACUUCAUGUGUGUCUCUCUUUGUCUCCAAUGUGAGUUUAUCUCAGGACUUCCCAAGUUGAUAUUGAAAGUUUUCCUGCAGGGGUUAGUCCAACAAAAUAUCCAAUAUCUACUAUAGCAUACUAUCGGCUCAAAAAUCAACCUAGACACCAUGUCUAAUUUGAUUUAGGAGGGCAUUUUAACCUAAGCAUCAUGCUUAAUUUAAACUCCCUUGGUAGUAAGAUCAUCAGCCCUAAACUAAGCACCAUGCUUAAUUAAGAGAUAAAUGAAACUACUCCAAACCUAGACAUAUACUAAAGCAAAUAAAGGUAGCAUGAGAGCAUUUAUAGAGAUCUACUCAAGUGGAGAUGAAGUAGUGUGAUUAGUAUUUAACAAAUUGAGCAUGUCUCAAAGGUAGGGAUAACCAACAUAGCAACAUGGCAAAGGAUGUUUUUAUGUAAAAUACUCCCCCAAGCUUGAAUUUUGUAAAAUUUAAGUUUGGAUGAAUUUAAUUCAAUGUAGUAUGAUGAUUGGUUGGACAUACCUUGUGCUUGUCAUUCAUCCGAUCUUCUUGCUCCAAUCCUGGAAAGGUUAGUGACAAGAAUACCCGAAGGAAUAUUUUUACAAUUAUCCUUAUAUGCUCAAUACACAAGGUAAUGUUGCAAAUAAUUAAAAGCUCAUGUUAUGAUCUGAUCAGUGCUUAUUUUAGGACACUAAGCGUGUCCUUGGGAAACCAUCAAUUUAUGUCAGCGAAGUGGUUUCCCCUCCAACGCUGACCUAUAUCAAGAUCAACUCAACGAGAUCUGCAAUAUUUAAUAUAGACAUAUGCAUCGACAACCGCCCUUUUAAAGUUUUUAUGAAUAGAAAGGAAGUGGGGGUUGGAGAUCUCGAAUGUGGUGAUGUUGGAGAGACCAAUGGAUUGUGAAGAUGUUGCAUAUGAGCAUGGCGUCAAUGAAGUGGCUAUGAAAUAAAUUCCAUGCUCAUUAAUGCUUAGAGUGAAAUCCAUGUGGUAUGGUGAAAAUGAUAAGGUGAGUGUGGUAAAAAAGGAAAAGAAAAAGGAUACACGGACGACUUGGUUCGAAACUAGCAUAGCUACCGUUCCCCGACAACGGCGCCAGAAAGCUUGUUGGGUAUUUUAAACGCAAACAGAAAAAUCCGCAAGCGCACGGAUACCGAUGUAGCCUUCACCCGGGAGUAUUUUUCCACAGAGAACGUGAGUGUAAUAAUUAAGAUCCAAGAUUGCCCAAGGAUAACUAUAUAAUUAUUUUUGGUGGGAAGAGAGGAAGUUUCCUGAGAGUUCUUGUUGACGGUCCUUAAUGCACAUAUUUAACCAUCAAUUAAUCAUAGAAAAGGAUCCAAAUGCAACCAACACCUAGACUUAGGGUUUUAUCUGACAGAAUUCCACGAGUUUUGGUGUUUGUCUAUUUCUGCAGGGGGUUAUCAGGAAAUAUGGAGGAAAGGCCCACACGUCGGGUUUACAUAGAGAUAUUAACGUGCCGCGCAAUUUUCUAUCAUCUAGAAGACUCCAGAAGCCACGGGACCGAAGCGGAAGCCGAGAGGCCUCAGGGACAGGGCGCCCGCCCUAGUCCUGAGGGCGCCCGCCCUCCCCCCUGGACCAAUCAGGGUGAAGUUCGGGGAUCAUGCUCCACCGACCUAAUACUUCAAGGAAAACCACACGAUCAAUGUCGGUUUGAUCCGAUGGCCCAGAUUCACUUGAAGGGACUAUAAAACCACACCCCCCUGGCCCCUGGAGAUCAUACCUCUUCUACAGAAUCAAAGCUAGGGUUUCAAUUCUUCAUCCAAGUAGAGAGGAUCCCUCUAGUUCUUCUAGUUCUACCUCUAGUUCAUCUAGAUCUAGUUCUAGUUCAUCUAGUUCUAGUUCUAGUUCCUCUAGUUCUAGUUCUAGUUAGUUCUAGUUGUAAUCUAGAAAAUAGGGAGAGAGAAGAGGAGAGCGGAGGAAGAGCCGGAUUUGUCGGAUCUUCCUCAACAUUGUACUUUUGCAGCAUCUGGUUCGUUCUUCAUCGUUCUCCAGGUUCUUCAAUUCAAAACUCCUGAGUUCUCUAAUUACUUUUAUAUACAUUCAAGUUAUUUAUUGGAUUCCCGCUUGCAUCAAGUGCUCUAAUCUUUGAAACAUUAUAGUAGUAAUUAAUAGAUUAGACGUGGUGUUUAGUCUUGCAAUUACCUGGAAUUGCACCCAAUCCUGCGGAUUGUUGUGGUAGCCUUAGGGUAGUGACACCCCUAACGGUCGACGUAUUCCACCUCGUUCGGAUCGGUGUUUGUAGGACCGUAGUCGGAGCUUCCUAGCCCCCUUCUCAUCUCUUUCUGUGGUUAGUGUUCUGAUGUCCCGAUAUAGAUAAUUUUGAAGUAAUUCUUUAUUCUUAGAUCAACUAGAGAACUCUCAGGAAACUUCCUCUCUUCCCACCAAAAAUAGUUAUAUAGUUAUCCUUGGGCGAUCUUGGAUCUUAAUUAGUACACUCACGUUUCCUGUGGAAAAUCGAUACUGUGGAAUACUCCCGGGUGAAGGCUACAUCGGUAUCCGUGCGCUUGCGGAUUUUUCUGUUUGCGUUUAAAAUACCCAACAAGCUUUCUGGCGCCGUUGCCGGGGAACGGUAGCUGUGCUAGUUUCGAACCAAGUCGUCCGUAUAUCCUUUUUAUUUUCCUUAUUUACCACACUCACCUUAUCAUUUUCACCACACCAUAUGGAUUUCACUCUAAGCAUUAAUGAGCAUGGAAUUUAUUUCAUAGCCACUUCAUUUACUCCAUGCUCAUAUGCAACAUCUUCACAAUCCAUUGGUCUUUCCAACAUCACCACAUUCGAGAUCUCCAACCCCCUCAUCCUGUCUAUUUAUAAAAACUUUAAAAGGGCGGUUGUCGAUGCAUAUGUCUAUAAUAAAUUUUGCAGAUUUCGUUGAGUUGAUCUUGAUAUAGGUUGGUGUUGGAGGGGAAACCACUUCACCAACAUAAAUUGAUGGUUUCCCAAGGACAAGCUUAGUGUCCUAAAACAAGCACUGAUCAGAUCGUAACAUGAGCUUUUAAUUAUUUGCAACAUUACCUUGUGUGUUGAGCAUAUAAGGAUAAUUGUAAAAAUAUUCCUCUGGGUAUUCUUGUCACUAACCUUUCUAGGAUUGGAGCAAGAAGAUCGGAUGAAUGACAAGCACAAGGUAUGUACAACCAAUCAUACAACAUUGAAUUAAGUUCAUCCAAACUUGAAUUUUGCAAAAUUCAAGCUUGGGGGAGUACUAUACAUAAAAACAUCCUUUGCCAUGUUACCAUGUUGGUUGUCCCUACCUUUGAGACAUGCUCAAUUUGUUAAAGACUAAUCACACUACUUCAUCUCCACUUGAGUAGAUCUCUAUAAAUGCUCUCAUGCUACCUUUAUUUGCUUUAGUACAUGUCUAGGUUUGGAGUAGUUUCAUUUAUCUCUUAAUUAAGCAUGGUGCUUAGUUUAGGGCUAAUGAUCUUACUUCCAAGGGAGUUUAAAAUAAGCAUGAUGCUUAGGUUAAAAUGCCCUCCUAAUCAAAUUAGACAUGGUGUCUAGGUUGAUCUUUGAGCCGAUAGUAUGCUAUAGUAGAUAUUGGAUAUUUUGUUGGACUAACCCCUAUAGGAAAACUUUUAAUAUCGACCUGAGAAGUCCUGAGAUAAACUCACAUUGGAGAUAAAGAGAGAGACACAUGAACUUUAUCAAUUUACACCAGGAAGGCAUAGCUCACAAGAGAUGAUCCAUGGAGGGUGCCACAAACACGAUGCACAACCGCUAAGAGAGGAAAGCUUCCACAAGGUGAUACUGUACCAUCACUCUUCAAGUAAGGUAACAUCUUAAGGUACUUGACUAUCACUUCUAUAAGCUUCUCGUUGGUUGUGGCAUUCACAUGAAUAAAAGAGACAAACAUGUAUGAUUUACAACUCUAGAUUAACCAACCCAAUCGAUUCAACAUGUUUAGUCCUUCCACCUUUGUGAUCCCACACUCCUAAUCAUAUGAACUAAAAUGUUGCACAUUCAAUCUCUGGAAGAUAUAAACAAAACAUAAGUAUAGAAAGAUUAUCUUUCCAUUAGGUUGAGUGAUCUGAUCUGACGAAUGUUUUAAAUGCUACACUCAUGAUCUUAUUAUCCAUCAACUGUGUCUUGCUCACUAUGCUUAAGGAUAGAGAAGAACAAAUACACUUUUGGUUCUAUUGGUGUUUUCCACCAACAGGGCCCAUGCACUUGAUCUCUGCCUUGUCUCUAUGAGCAGGUACACUUCGAGCAAAAUAUGAAUAAGUUUUUCAACUCCCAGACUCCAUUAAGUGAAGAACCUAGAUCUACAAGCACAAACACACUGGAGAUGCUGGACACUCAUGCAAUCACUGCCCUGAGAUGCUUGAGGACGUAACUACUGGAGUAACCCCGUUGUGGAAGUAAUUACUGACCUUCUGUCGGUCAAGAGAGGCGAUCCAGGACGCCCCAUCAUCCCGAUCUCCAUCGGCAUGGUGGACUUCCCAGAAGCACUCUGUGACUUUGGCUCCAGCGUCAACUUUAUACCUAGGGGAAGCCAUUCCUGAACACCUCGGGAGCUGUCAUCUACGCUAGUGCUGCCAAGAUCAGUUUCUACAUCAAGGGGAAGAAGGAGACGUUUUCCUUCAAGAAACAAGACUACACAAAUCCCAGAGCAAUCCCGACAUGAACCAAGGAAGAGGACCAACAGGAGGAACAAGAACAAGCAAAUGUGGUCCGAGUCAGCUAAGAUGGUCACUGCAGUUCAAGGAGGUCAAGAUCGUCAACUCAAGUCACCUUUCUUGAUCAAGAAGGAUGACCCUGGUGUUCCAAGCAUCGAGUGCACAAUCAACGGAUAUUUUUUUUAGAAGACACUAUACGACACCGGAUCUGACGUCAACAUAAUGGCCGCAGUCACUUAUCAGCUCCUGCAUGGAACCAUGCCCCUACAACCGACAUACAUUCAGCUCCAGAUGGCAGAUCAGACAUUCCGUAAGGUUAUUGUCAUGGGAGAAGAUGAGUACAAUCCACCCGUCAUCCUUGGAAGACCGUUCCUCAGCACCGUUAAAGCAAUCAUCUACAUUGGAACCGGAGAAGUCCACAUGAACUUCCCCUCUUAGAAGGUACGCCGCUAUUUUACUGACCCUAACUAUAUAGUUGAAGACUCUAAGAAGGUCAGGACAAGAAGAAGAUGACACAACCGCAACCAGAGGAGGCAAAUCAUCAAGGACGGAUGAGCAGACUACGAAGGAGAAGUAGUAAGGUCUGAAGACAUACAGCUUGAUCAGAACUGUCCUGAGGAGACCGUAGCACCGAGUCAGGUGUGGAGAGAGAAGAUAGUUAUACACGAAGAGAAGGCACCGCCGGAACCACCGACUACGCCAUCCAGCGAAUCCCUGGACGAAUGAGAAAAUAGAGAGUCUCGUUCGGAGGACUUAAAAACACCGAACGCCUUGCCAUGAGGUAAACUUGGUAGUUAUCUUUUUCCUUUCAAUUAUUUAAAACAUUUUGCUUAGUUAAUCAGGUUCAUAUCAUCUUAAAAAGAAAAUAAAAAUGUUAAAAAUAGUAAGCCCCAUGUGAGUAUGCUAAUGGCAUAAAACCCAUAAGUACAUUCACUGUGGUGGCAUAAAAAUAAAAUAAAUAUAUUCCUGUCCUAUAAAAAUAAAAUUAUAAAAAUAAAUUUAUGAUCCUACUAAAGGGAGUAAUAUUUAUUGAGGAGGCUCAAUACGAUAAAGGCUAGAUGUUUAUGCUAACACUUAACCAGUUCCACAAAGCUUUGUUGUCUAUUUGAGCUCCACAGAAUUCAAGGAUCAAAGAAGACUAGCAGACGGAGGACAUCCUAAUCGCUGACAGAGUGCUGCCGACAUUCAAAUACACCUCCGCCAGCUGCUGGCUACAUCAGAAGGAAUUACGUCAAAACCCAGCUUGGGGGAGAGCAACCCCCAUUUAUCCAGCUAAGUGUUCUACUCAUGGUUAUACUUUACUCAAAUAAUAAAAAUACGCAUAAUCAUAAAACAAAGAUUUUGUGCUUAUAUCUUUGCUUAAUUUUCUAAAUAAAUAAAUAAAUAAAGUUUGCUAUGAACCCUCAUGAUAAGCUCUCACAUGGAAAUGAGGAAUAGUUGCUCUGCCAUGACUAAAUUCUCAAAAUUGAAAUCUCUCUUAAGUUUAGGCAUGACUGUUAUUAAUUAACAUUUGCUCUAAACCUGAACUUGUGGGGAGAGUACUUGAUCUAAAGUCUAAGUCGUUAACGGAUACGAUAUGGGAAGGUUGAGCUGCUGUUUAUCUGUUCCUAGAGAUGCUAGAAUUCUGGAGAAUUUUAUCUUUGAAAAUCUUUAAAAUAUCACAUGAUGAGUUCCUGUAUGAUGAGAGUUUAAAUUCCUACCACAGCCAUAUAUACAUGCUUGCUAGACUUUGAGCCACACAUUUACUUUUUACUGCUUAUGAGCAUUGAGUGUGGUCAAGCUUUGUAGACCCUUAGGAGCUUGUCAUGUGGUUAAAUCAAGAUUCACUUGUACGUUCACUCAUACAUGCUGCUUCUACUCCGGAAGUACGCAUCCACAUAUAUCCAUUUCCAUCUCCAGAACCACCCAAAAAUAUUCUACUCCUAAUCCGGGAGAGAAUAGCCAAAAAUAUUUCUGUUUUUCCCCUGUGAAAUAAAUGCUCAAGUUAUCUUGUUACUACCACUUGCUAUAUUAUCUCAUGAGAUGAGUGCUCUAAAAAAAAGAGAAGAAAAAGAAAAAAAAAGAGAUACGAGGAAAUAAAAAGGGGCAAGUGCCCGGAACCUCGAAAGAAAAGAAAAAAGUGAGACGAGAGGUAAAAAUGGAUAAGUGUCCGAUAGUAGAAUUAGGGGUACAAGAUACCCACCUGAGAGAAAAGAAAAAGAAAACAUAGAGCAUCUCAUUCUCCUCAAAAAGUUUCAAAGAGCAAGAAAGGUAUGUAUCCCCUCAAAAGAGCAAAAGUAGAAUUAGACUUUCACCAUUACUUUCACCAUUAUCACCAUUCGCCACACAUGCACAUCUUGAUUUGACUUAUUGACAUGUUCUUGUGGAUCCAUGGUUUGACUAUGCAAUAAAUGUCUUGUAAGUAUGUAUUAGCUGUCUCCCACCUAUGAGCUCCAGAUAUCAAAACCUUAUUAGAGUAGGGUGAGAGAGAAGGCAAUGUCACUAUGCCUCAUACCAAAAAUACCACAUACUUUGAGAGAAGGCAUACACCUUUACUGCCUUGGUAAGGAUCCAGAAAUACCACAAAAGAGAGACUAGAGAGAGUCAUACAAGGAAUCUCUGAGUUUUAUUUGAAAAUCUGCAAAAACUCUAGAGCUAUAGUUAAUCGAAGAACAAGAGACAUGGUGCUUGACUAGACUGUUCAAUCUUUUAACUACUCAAGACAGAAGUGACGGUUACAAGUCCCAUGGUGAAAGGUAAAUGAGUAAGUUUUAAGUCUUAACAGUUUACUCUAACCAGAGAUGAGAUCUUGUUUAAACGCAUGUGUAUCUUUAAGUUAUGAAACCACUGCAGAAACUCUUGAGUUCAUCUUUGCUCAGGGACGAGCAAAGGUUAAGCUUGCGGGAGCUUGUUGACGGUCCUUAAUGCACAUAUUUAACCAUCAAUUAAUCAUAGAAAAGGAUCCAAAUGCAACCAACACCUAGACUUAGGGUUUUAUCUGACAGAAUUCCACGAGUUUUGGUGUUUGUCUAUUUCUGCAGGGGGUUAUCAGGAAAUAUGGAGGAAAGGCCCACACGUCGGGUUUACAUAGAGAUAUUAACGUGCCGCGCAAUUUUCUAUCAUCUAGAAGACUCCAGAAGCCACGGGACCGAAGCGGAAGCCGAGAGGCCUCAGGGACAGGGCGCCCGCCCUAGUACUGAGGGCGCCCGCCCUCCCCCCUGGACCAAUCAGGGUGAAGUUCGGGGAUCAUGCUCCACCGACCUAAUACUUCAAGGAAAACCACACGAUCAAUGUCGGUUUGAUCCGACGACCCAGAUUCACUUGAAGGGACUAUAAAACCAGACCCCCCUGGCCCCUGGAGAUCAUACCUCUUCUACAGAAUCAAAGCUAGGGUUUCAAUUCUUCAUCCAAGUAGAGAGGAUCCCUCUAGUUCUUCUAGUUCUACCUCUAGUUCAUCUAGAUCUAGUUCUAGUUCAUCUAGUUCUAGUUCUAGUUCCUCUAGUUCUAGUUCUAGUUAGUUCUAGUUGUAAUCUAGAAAAUAGGGAGAGAGAAGAGGAGAGCGGAGGAAGAGCCGGAUCUGUCGGAUCUUCCUCAACAUUGUACUUUUGCAGCAUCUGGUUCGUUCUUCAUCGUUCUCCAGGUUCUUCAAUUCAAAACUCCUGAGUUCUCUAAUUACUUUUAUAUACAUUCAAGUUAUUUAUUGGAUUCCUGCUUGCAUCAAGUGCUCUAAUCUUUGAAACAUUAGAGUAGUAAUUAAUAGAUUAGACGUGGUGUUUAGUCUUGCAAUUACCUGGAAUUGCACCCAAUCCUGCGGAUUGUUGUGGUAGCCUUAGGGUAGUGACACCCCUAACGGUCGACGUAUUCCACCUCGUUCGGAUCGGUGUUUGUAGGACCGUAGUCGGAGCUUCCUAGCCCCCUUCUCAUCUCUUUCUGUGGUUAGUGUUCUGAUGUCCCGAUAUAGAUAAUCUUGAAGUAAUUCUUGAUUCUUAGAUCAACUAGAGAACUCUUAGGAAACUUCCUCUCUUCCCACAAAAAAUAGUUAUAUAGUUAUCCUUGGGCGAUCUUGGAUCUUAAUUAGUACACUCACGUUCCCUGUGGAAAAUCGAUACUCUGGAAUACUCCCGGGUGAAGGCUACAUCGGUAUCAGUGCGCUUGCGGAUUUUUCUGUUUGCGUUUAAAAAACCCAACAGUUCUCUAGAUGAUCUAAGAAUCAAGAAUUACUUCAAGAUUAUUUAUAUCGGGACAUCAGAGCACUAACCACAGAAAGAGAUGAGAAGGGGGCUAGGAAGGUCUAACUACGGUCCUACAAACACCGAUCCGAACGUGGUGGAAUACGUCGACCGUUAGGGCUGUCACUACCCUAAGGCUACCACAACAAUCCGCAGGAUUGGGUGCAAUUCCAGGUAAUUGCAAGACUAAACACCACGUCUAAUAUAUUAAUUACUACUCUAUUGUUUCAAAGAUUAGAGCACUUGAUGCAAGCGGGAAUCCAAUAAAUAACUUGAAUGUAAAUAAAAGUAAUUAGAGAACUCAGGAGUUAUGAGUUGAAGAACCUGGAGAACGAUGAAGAACGAACCAGAUGCUGCAAAAGUACAAUGUUGAGGAAGAUCCGACAGAUCCGGCUCCUCCUCCGCUCUCCUCUUCUCUCUCCCUAUUUUCUAGAUUACAACUAGAACUAACUAGAACUAGAACUGGAGGAACUAGAACUAGAACUAGAUGAACUAGAACUAGAUCUAGAUGAACUAGAGGUAGAACUAGAAGAACUAGAGGGAUCCUCUCUACUUGGAUGAAGAAUUGAAACCCUAGCUUUGAUUCUGCAGAAGAGGUAUGAUCUCCAGGGGCCAGGGGGUCUGGUUUUAUAGUCCCUUCAAGUGAAUCUGGGUCGUCGGAUCAAACCGACAUUGAUCGUGUGGUUCUCCUUGAUCCUUUAGGUCGGUGGAGCAUAAUCCGCGAAACGUGUCCUGAUUGGGCAAUGUAGCUGGGCGGGUGCCUUGCCUCCGAGCCCGAUUUCCUUCCCGUUCGUUCCCGUGGCUUCUGGAUUCUUCUAGAUGAUAGAAAAUUGCGCGACACGUUAAUAUCUCUAUGUAAACCUGACGUGUGGGCCUUUCUUCCAUAUUUCCUGAUAACCCCCUGCAGAAAUAGAUAAACAACAAAACUCGUGGAAUUCUGUCAGAUAAAACCCUAAGUCUAGGUGUUGGUUGCAUUGUUGACGGUUCUUAAGUAUCAAUUUUAAUUAUCAAAUAAACAUGAGAAAGGACCAAUAUGCAACCAUUACCUAGAAUUAGGGUUUGAUCUGACAGAAUUCCACGAGUUUUGUUGUUUAUCUAUUUCUGCAGGGUGUUAUCAGGAAAUAAGGAAGAAAGGCCCACAUGUCGGGAUUACAUAGAGAUAUCAACGCACCGCGUAAUUUUACAUCAUCUAGAAGACUCCAGAAGCCACGAGACCGAAGCGGAAGCGAAGCUGGGCCAGGCCUAGGGCGCCCGCCCUGGUAGCCUGGGCGCCCGCCCCCCUGUUGGAGCCAAUUCAGGACUCCUUUGCUCGGGAUAUUCCACCGACCUAUUGGAUCAAGAAAAACAUAGUACCACCUCGCCUAUCGACCCAAAAAUGCAUAGAAGGGGAGGACUAUAUAAGCAAGGCCCCCCUGGCCCCUGGAAGACAUGAAGAAAUUAUCAUAGAGACUGAGGGGUGCCCUCGAAGGAAAACCUCUUCUCUAAUUAAUAUUUCUUUUUAGGCUUAGCAAUCAAUGUAAGGUAGAAAUAGAUCUUCUAGUUUCUACUAGAUUGAGAGAGAUAGAGUGGAGGUGUAGAGUGGAGGAAGCCCGGCCUGUCGGUUUUCUACUCCAAGCUUGUACCUGCGGGAUCAAGUUCUCCUAACCCGAAGCUUGCUCCUAGGAUUCUUCAGUAAUUCGACUUCUAAAUUCUAGUAAGUUCUUGUUUUAUUGUUCUUAUGGUUUAUGAGUUUACUUUAAUCUCUUCGCGUAGAGUUUAGAGUAAUCAUUGCGGGCGUAAACGUGGUGUUUAGGCUGGGGUACUCAUAGAUAUUCCCUGACUAGCUGGACCGUGGUAGUAGUGAGGAACGUGACAUUUCCGAGCUACCUUUGUAGAUCACAUCUCGUUAGCAGGAAGGAUAGGGUUUAUAGGUGCGGGUUGAACAUCCUUUGUGGUGUCUAGAUUCCGUUAGCCUCCCCAUUAGAAUAGUAGAUCAUCCUUACCAAGGUUAGAAGGAGACUACGGUUGCAGUCUUCUCUAUUUAUCACUCACAUCGAAAGACAUUCUUUGUGCCUAAAGGGAUAGUAGUAAUAGAUUUGGUUAGUCAGAUGCACCCUUUCUCCCAGUGGUAAAAAUAUAAAUACGAUACUCUGGAAAACCUCCCGGGUGAAAUGCUCACCGAUAUCCGUGCGCUUGCGGAUCAUUUCCUUAUUGCGUUACCAAAUAUCAACAAGCAUUUCUGGCGCCGUUGCCGGGGAGAAAGACGGUUUGCUGAGAUAACUUUGAGUCUUGCUAUUAUCUUGUAUUAUACUUUUAUACUUUUAUUCUUUUAUCUAUUUAUCUUUAUGGAUAUCUCAAAUUCCAUAACUAUUAUUAAAUUCUUUGCACCUUCGGAGACCAGCCAUAGACCAUGGGAGUCAACACGUCCUGCCCCUAAUUAUGAUCUGUGUCCGGAGUUGAUUGCAAUAGGUCAAAACCAACCCUUUUCUAUAGCUGAGGUCCUAUCUUUUAAUCAAAAAGAUAACGCACUUUUAGCUACACCUAGGGAAUCUUUUAAUUUUUCUAUAAAUUCUGGUAUAGACCUAUCCCUACAAGACCAUGUUUUUCCUAGAUAUUUUCACAUUGGUCUUAAUCAUAUAACCUUUGGUAGAGUCUUUCUUUCUUUAUCUAUUAGUAAAGGAAGGUAUGUCUUCAUUUGUAGACAUCCUUCUUGUACUAGUCUUCAUAGAAAAAUCAUAGAGAUAGAGAAGGAAUCAUCUCCCAUACAAGGAGAGGAAGUUUCAAUAGGCGAUUUCCAAACUUUCCAAUCCCAUGAUUCGGCUAUCCAACCCAUCCUUGAGCCUAAUAAUCUCUACUAUGCUCUUUCUCUUGAACCUCCCGAUAAUCCUAUGAAUCUCUCUAGACAUCCCAUGCAUAAGAAGGAGGAUCGAGGAGAGCAACAUCAAUGGCUAGAGGGCAUUAAAAAUUCAUGUGCUAUCACCACAUUUGAGAUCUCUAACCCUCUCUUCUUUUCUAUUUAUAAAAACUUUAAAAGAGCGGUUGUCGAUGCAUAUGUUUAUAAUAAAUAUUGCGGAUCUCGUCGAGUUAAUUGAUGGUUUCCCAAGGACAAGCUUAGUGUCCUAAAACAAGCACUUAUCAGAUUGUAACAUGAACUUCUAAUUACUUGCAACAUUACCUUGUGUAUUGAGCAUAUAAGAUAAUUGUAGAAAUAUUCCUUCGGGUAUUCUUGUCACUAACCUUUCUAGGAUUGGAGCAAGAAGACCGGAUGAAUGACAAGCGCAAGGUAUGCCCAACAAAUCAACAUGCAACAUUGAAUUAAAUUCAUCCAAUCUUGAAUUUUGCAAAAUUCAAGCUUAGGGGAGUACUUCACAUAAAACAUCCUUUGCCAUGUUGCUAUGUUGGUUGUCCUUACCUUUGAGACAUGCUCAAUUUGUUAAAUACUAAUCACACUACUUCAUCUCCACUUAAGUAGAUCUCUAUAAAUGCCAUCACGCUACCUUUGUUUAUCCUAGUAAGUGUUAGUUUGGAAGUACUGCACAUACUUCUAUUGGCUUUUAAAUUAAGCAUGGUGCUUAGGUUAAACAGCCUUCCUUAAUCUGAUUAGACAUGAAGUCUAGUUCGGUUAUCGAACUAAAAAUUGCUUGUGUAGACAUUGGUAUAUUUUGUGGGACUAACCCCUGCAGGAAAACUUUCAAUAUCAACCUGGGAAGUCCUAAGAUAAACUCACAUUGGAGAUAAAGAAAGUGACACAUGAAGUUUAACAAUUUGCACAAGAAAGACGUAGCUCAUAAGAGAUGAUCCAUGGAGGGAGCCACAAACUCGAUGCACAACCGCUAGAAAGGAAAGCUUCUACAAGGUGAUACUGUACCAUCACCCUUCAAAGGUAACAUCUUAAGGUACUUGACUAUCCUUUUAUAAGUUUCUCCUUGGUUCUGGCGUUCACAUAAAUAAAGAGACAAACAUGUAUGAUUUAUAACUCUAAAUUAACCAACCUAACUGAUUCAACAUGUUUAGUCCCUUAAUCUUUGUUCUUAGUACUACCUUCGUAAUCCCACGCUUCUAAACAUAUAAGCUAAUAUGUUGCACAUUCAAUCUUUCGAAGAUAAAAACAAAACAUAAAUAUAGAUAGAUUAUCUUUCCAUUAGGUUGAGCCAUCUGAUCUAACAAAUGUUUUAAAUGCUACACUCAUGAUCCAUCAACUUUGUCUUGCUCACUAUGCUUAAGGUUAGAAAAGAACAAAUACACUUUUGGUUCUGUUGGUGUUUUCCACCAACAGAGCCCAUGCACUUGAUCUCUACCUUGUCUCUAUGAGCAGGACACAUUUUGAGAAACGUGAAGGCGUUUUACAACUCCCAGAUUCCAUUAAGUGAAGAACCGGGAUCUACGAGCACAAACACAAUGGAGAUCAGACACUUAGUUUCCCAAAGGAAAUAUUAAAGAACCUCUGUGUCCAAGUUGGUACCUUGUACGCUCCAGCAAACUUCGUGGUGGUAGAGACUGGUACUGAGGAGAGGGCACCCAUCAUCUUAGGGAGGCCAUUCCUAAACACCAGAGCUGUCAUCUACGCUAAUGCUGCCAAGAUCAGUCUCUACAUCAAGGGGAAGAAGGAGACUUUUCUUCAAGAACAAGACUACAUAAACUUCAGAGCAAUCCCGACAUGAACCAAGGAAGAGAACAGGAACAAGCAAAUGUGGACCGAGUCAGCUAAGAUGGUCACUGCAGCUCAAGGAGGUCAAGAUCGUCGACUCAAGUCACCUUUCUUGAUCAAGAAGGACGACCCUGUUGUUCCAAUCAUCGAGUGCACAACCAAUAGAUACUCUUUUUAGAAAACACUCUAUGACACCGGAUCUAACGUCAACAUAAUGGCCGCAGUCACUUAUCAGCUCCUGCAUGGAACCAUGCCCCUACAACCAAUAUAUAUUUAGCUCCAGAUAAUUUUUAGAACAAUGAUAUGGGAGAAGACGAGUACGAUCCACCCAUCAUCUUACGAAGACCAUUCCUCAACACUAUCCAAGUUAUCAUCUACAUUGGAACUGGAGAAGUCCACGUGUAUUUCCCCUCUGAGAAGGUACGCCAUUACUUUAAUGAUUCUAACUAUAUAGUUGAAGAUUCUAAGCAGGUCAGGACAAGAAGAAGACGACGCAACCGCAACCAGAGGAGGCAAAUCAUCAGGGACGGAUGGCAGACUACGAAGGAAAAGUUGUAAGGUCAGAAGACGUUGAGUUUAAACAGAAUUAUCCAGAGGAGACCGAAGCACCAAGUCAGGUGUGGAAAAGGAAGAUAACUAUACAUGAAGAGGAGGCGCUACCGGAAGUACCGACUACGCCACCCAACGAACCUCAGGAUAAUUGAGAAGGAGGAGAGUCCCGUUCGGAGGACUUAAAAACACCGAACGCCUUGCCAAGAGGUAAACUUGGUAGUUAUCGUUUCCCUUUCAAUUAUUUCAAGUAGUUCCCUUAGUUAAUUAAGUUCUAAACAGAAAGUAAAAAUGUGAAAAACAGUAAGCCCCAUGUGAGGAUACGAGUGGCAUAAAACCCAUAAGUACAUUCACUAUGGUGGCAUAAAAAUAAAAUAAAAAUAUUUUUCUGCUUUAUAAAAUAAAAAUAUAAAAACAGGGAGUAAUAAUUAUUAAGGAGUCUCAACAUGAUAAAGGCUAGAUAUUUAUGCUAACACUUAAUCAGUUCCACAAGCUUUGUUGUCUAUUUGAGCUCCACAGAAUCUAAGAAUCAAGAAGACUGGCAGACGGAGGAUAUUCUAAUCGCUGUCACAAUGCUGCUGACUUUCAAAUACACCUCUGCCACCUGCUAGCUACAUCAAGAGAAAUUACGUCAAAAUUCAGCUUGGGAGAGAGCACCCCCAUUUAUCUCUAUAAGUAUUUCUAUCUAUCUAUCUUUAUACUUAUAUUAUUUUAGAAUAUAAAUAUACAUAACUAUGAAAAACCAAAUAAAGAUUUUAUGCUUAUAUAUAUAUAUGUCUUUUGCUUAGUGUGUUUAAUAAAUAAAUAAAGUGGCUAUGCUAAUCUGUAUCUAAAUAAAACUCAAGCAUGGAAAUGAUGAAUAGUUGCUCUGCCUAAUUUGCACAUUUUAAGUUCUCUCUCAAGUCUAGACAUAACUGUUAUAAUUUAAAGCUUGCUCUAGACCUAAACUUGUGGGAUGAAAACUUGAUCUGAAAUCUAAGUUGUUAACGGAUACGAUAUGGGAAGGUUGAGCUGCUGUUUAUCUGUUUCUAGAGAUGCUAGAAUUCUGGAGAAUUUUAUCUUUGGAAAUCUUUAAAAUGUUGCAUGAUGAGUUCCUGUAUGAUGAGAGUUUAAAUUCCUACCACAGCCUUAUAUACAUGCUUGCUAGACUUCGAGCCACACAUUUACUUUUUACUGCUUAUGAGCAUUGAGUGUGGUCAAGCUGUGUAGACCCUUAGGAGCUUGUCAUGUGGUUAAAUCAAGAUUCACUUGCACGUUCACUCACACAUGCUACUUCUACUCCGGAAGUACCAUCCACAUAUAUCCAUACAUUUCCAUCUUCAGAAUCACCCAAAAAUAUUCUACUCCUAAUCCGGCAGAGAAUAGCCAAAAAUAAUUUUGUUCUUCCUUGUGUAAUAAAUGUCUCAAGAUCAAUAAAGAGUAUUAUUAUUAUGUCUUGUGUGUCUCUACUUUAUUUUUGUGCAAGAAAGCAGAAAACAAGUAUGGCGGAGAUCCCUCGACAUGCUAAACACACUCCGACUACACCAAUCCACGAUUCAGGUACACACUCUGCACACUUUACUUUACACAUAUAUAUAUUGUAGAUUAUGCAGAAUAUUGUUCCCGACAUGAUAAAAUAAAAAGAUUAAAAUAUUUCUAAUCAUGAUUAAUCUCAAUCUGUGAUAUUUCCUGAAAACUUGCAAAUUAUUAUAAAAUCAUUUUAAACCCUGUGUUACUUAAGUCAAUAUGGAAUAUGUGAUGAUAGAGUAUGAGUUUCUUAUUCUUGAUAUCAUUGUUGCUUGGAGAAUUUAUUUCAAAAUAUUCAAAAUUCUAGCUACCAACCUCAGUGUUUUAUAUGCCUGAUAAAACUGAAAAUAUUAAUUAUAAAAGCUAUUUGCUCUGUAUUGAGUUUGUUCAAAAUGAGUUAGACCCUUGUUGAGAGAUUUAUCAUGCUCCUAAGAUCAAGACAUUAUUUCAGUAAGAUUCACUCUUCCGAAGUAUUAUUGCAUUAGAGGCAUGGGCUAUGCAAAAAUAGAAGAUAUUUCGAGGAAAUAAAAAGGAGCAAGUGCUCGACAACCGCGCAGAAAAAAUGGACAAGUGUCCGGAAGUAGAAUUAGGGGUACCUCGGUAUCCACUUAAAAAAAAGAUAAAAGAAAAAAAAAUGACAGCCCAUGGUCCCUCUAAUAAGCAAUAUGCCAGCAAGAGUUGACAAAGUUUUUAAUUUCCAAAGUCUUUGAUCUAAGAGUAUGACAUUUCCCUCCUCGGAUCCCGUUUUGAUCAGGCAAUAAAUCCAAAGUAAGUAUGCUUGAGAAUUUUUGCAAAAUAAAACAGCCUCAGUGAGAUAUGUAUAAAAGAUAAUGAGUGAUCUGAGAGAACCUAUGAGGAUCAAAAAGGUAUGCUAACUUUCUUUCAAAAAUAUACAAAAACUCCAAGUGACAGGAUUGAAAAGAAAGAAUCUUUACUCUUAACCAUAUACUUCCCUGACUACAAUACACAGUGGAAUUUUUAACACCCUGCAAUUAUAAAGAGAAUGUUUUAAAUGUUUACCCCAGAUAUUAUUCUUAACCAUCCUUUUCUCGAGGACGAGUAAAAGCCUAAGUAUGGGGGUAUUUGUUGACGGUUCUUAAGUAUCAAUUUUAAUUAUCAAAUAAACAUGAGAAAGGACCAAUAUGCAACCAUCACCUAGAAUUAGGGUUUGAUCUAAUAGAAUUCCACGAGUUUUGUUGUUUAUCUAUUUCUGCAGGGGGUUAUCAGGAAAUAAGGAAGAAAGGCCCACAUGUCGGGAUUACAUAGAGAUAUCAACGCACCGCGUAAUUUUACAUCAUCUAGAAGACUCCAGAAGCCACGAGACCGAAGCGGAAGCGAAGCUGGGCCAGGCCCAGGGCGCCCGCCCUGGUAGCCUGGGCGCCCGCCCCCUGUUGGAGCCAAUUCAGGACUCCUUCGCUCGGGAUAUUCCACCGACCUAUUGGAUCAAGAAAAACAUAGUACCACCUCGCCUAUUGACCCAAAAACGCAUAGAAGGGGAGGACUAUAUAAGCAAGGCCCCCCUGGCCCCUGGAAGACAUGAAGAAAUUAUCAUAGAGACUGAGGGGUGCCCUCGAAGGAAAACCUCUUCUCUAAUUAAUAUUUCUUUUUAGGCUUAGCAAUCAAUGUAAGGUAGAAAUAGAUCUUCUAGUUUCUACUAGAUUGAGAGAGAUAGAGUGGAGGUGUAGAGUGGAGGAAGCCCGGCCUGUCGGUGUCUACUCCAAGCUUGUACCUGCGGGAUCAAGUUCUCCUAACCCGAAGCUUGCUCCUAGGAUUCUUCAGUAAUUCGACUUCUAAAUUCUAGUAAGUUAUUGUUUUAUUGUUCUUAUGGUUUAUGAGUUUACUUUAAUCUCUUCGCGUAGAGUUUAGAGUAAUCAUUGCUGGCGUAAACAUGGUGUUUAGGCUGGGGUACUCAUAGAUAUUCCCUGACUAGCUAGACCGUGGUAGUAGUGAGGAACGUGACAUUUCCGAGCUACCUUUGUAGAUAACAUCUCGUUAGCAGGAAGGAUAGGGUUUAUAGGUGCGGGUUGAACAUCCUUUGUGGUGUCUAGAUUCCGUUAGCCUCCCCAUUAGAAUAGUAGAUCAUCCUUACCAAGGUUAGAAGGAGACUACGGUUGCAGUCUUCUCUAUUUAUCACUCACAUCGAAAGACAUUCUUUGUGCCUAAAGGGAUAGUAGCAAUAGAUUUGGUUAGUCAGAUGCACCCUUUCUCCCAGUGGUAAAAAUAUAAAUACGAUACUCUGGAAAACCUCCCGGGUGAAAUGCUCACCGAUAUCCGUGCGCUUGCGGAUCAUUUCCUUAUUGCGUUACCAAAUAUCAACAAGCAUUUGGAUCCUUUUCCAUGAUUAAUUGAUGGUUAAUUGUGAGCAUUAAGGACCGUCAACAACAACCAACACCCAAAAUUAGGGUUUCAUCUGACAUAAUUACACGAGUUUUGGUGUUUGUCUAUUUUUGUAGGGGGUUAUUAUGAAAUAUGGAGGAAAGGCCCACACGUCGGGUUUACAUAGAGAUAUUAAUGUGUGCGCCAAUUUUCUAUCAUCUAGAAGACUCCAGAAGCCAUGGGAACGAACGGGAGGCCGAGCGGGCCCGGGGGCUGGGCGCCCGCCCUCCACCCUUGGGCGCCCGCCCUGCCCUGGUGACCAAUCAGGGCAGGUCUCGCGGAUCGUGCUCCACUACCUUUGAGGAUCAAGGAAAACCGUGCGAUUAAGGUCGUUUUGAUCUGACGGCCCACGUUCAUUUGGAAGGGCAAUAUAAGCAGGCCCCCCUGGCCCCUGGAGAACAUAUCUCUUCUACAGAAUCAAAGCUAGGGUUUCAAUUAUUCAUCCAAGUAGAGAUGAUCCCUCUAGUUCAUCAAGUUCUAGUUCUAGUUCAUAUAGUUCUAGUUCUAGUUAGUUCUAGUUGUAAUCUAGAAAAUAGGGGGAGAGAAGAGGAGAGCGGAGGAGGAGCCAGAUCUGUUGGAUCUUCCUCAAUAUUGUACUUCUGCAGCAACUGGUUCGUUAUUCAUCGUUCUCCAAGUUCUUCAAUUCAUAAUUCCUGAGUUCUUUUAUUAUUUUUAUUUGCAUUCAAGUUUUUUAUUGGAUUCCCGCUUGCAUCAAGUGCUGUAGUCUUUAUAACGUUAGAGUAGUAAUUAAUAGAUUAGACAUGGUGUUUAGUCUUGCAAUUACCUGGAAUUGCACCUAAUCCUGCGAAUUGUUGUGGUAGCCGUAGAGUAGUGACAGCCCUAACGGUCGACGUAUUCCACCUCGUUCGGAUCGGUGUUUGUAGGACCAUAGUCAGAGCUUCCUAGCCCCCUUCUCAUCUCUUUCUGUGAUUAGUGUUCUGAUGUCCCAAAAUAAAUAAUCUUUGAAGUAAUUCUUGAUUCUUAGAUCAACUAGAGAACUCUCAGGAAACUUCCUCUCUUCCCACCAAAAAUAAUUAUAUAGUUAUCCUUGGGUGAUCUUGAUUCUUAAUUAAUACACUCACGUUCCCUGUGGAAAAUCGAUACUCUGGAAUACUCCCGUGUGAAAGCUACAUCAGUAUCCAUGCGCUUGCGGAUUUUUCUGUUUGCGUUUAAAAUAGCCAAUAGACAUGAUCUAGAGGUAAGUAUAUAUCAUGCUUUAAAUAUCGAUGCCUGCUCGUUUACUUUAUUAUGCUAGCUAUACCUAAUCAAUGACCGUCUUAUUGGGCAGGGCUUGGGCUGGGCUACAACAAAGAUAUCGUACAGAUAUGAAUGUGCCACUUCCCCCUCCUGUUCUACUCCCUUGGGUGCCCACGCAGCCGUUUAGAACGAAUCUAUGUGGAUACUACGUUUGUGAAUUUAUGUGGUGCACCCUAUUUAAACCUGCUCAAAGUGUUCUAAAAGUAAGUAACAUGCAUGUGUAUACAGUAAAUUCAUAUCUUAUUUAUUUGUUGGAACUAAAUAGAUUUUAUGUAUAUUAAUAUCUUUUUUAACUAAUGCAAAUGGAAGGAGUGGAAUAUGAAAGGUAAAGUGUUUGAGUACACAUUACUCCUUAUAGUCCAGGACGAUCGCCGAAUUUAUCAACGAUCAUGUCAUUGUGGAAGACGACGAGUUCCACUUAUACCCAUAGGGCUUCAAGCCCAUUCCAAACAAGGACGAACACUUGUAUGAGCUUUGAGUGGGCGGGCAAACAUUAUGUAAUCAUUAACCGGCGACAGCACACUUGAUUAUUACUUGUACAUAAUAUUAUUAUUGUAAAUGUAAUGUGUUUGUACGUAUGUGUAUAGCUAUAUAAUAUAUAUAUAUAUAUUACGGAUAAUAUAUAUGUGUAGUUUCAUACUUUAUUUGUGUGCAAUAAUGACGCUCUCGUAUAGGUGCAACGUAUAUGGAUAAUAGUAGCGUAUAUGAAUAAAUUGGUGAACAUAUACAAUUGAAAACCAAAAUCAAUAAUGAAAUGAAAAUGAAAAAGAAUAAGAAAAAGGAAAAAACCCUUUAAUCCUGGUUGGUAAUACCAACCGGGACUAAAAGGGGUGGCGCCACGUCACUGCCUGGCACCCCCUCUAGUCCCGGUUGGUGUUACCAACCGGGACUAAAAGUCCCCCUUUAGUCCCGGGCCGGCGAGCCGGUACUAAAGGUGGGACUUUUGGUCCCGACCCCUUAGUCCCGUCUCGCCACCCGGGACUAAAGGUGGUUUUCGACCGAGACAAAAGGUCGGUCCUGUACCAGUGCUCGCUACUAUUGGAACCGAAAGCAGCUUGGUGACGGGACCCUGGUGGGGAUCGAGGCAGUGAUUCCUACCAGUGGAGGUGACCCCGCCUAGGGUGGCUGGGUGUACGAGUCCUGAGGCAGCACACCUUUCUAGGGUGCCAGCAGGGCUGCUUAUGCAGUUCUAAGGGAUAUCAUGGAGCGGUUUCCGCAAGAGCUAGCCCACGUCUUCGCUGGGGUGUUUCCCUGGGGUGACCCCUACACUUUGGUGUGGGAUCAGUCCGAGGUGAAUGCUCUAGAGUGGAGUGCGGAUGAGGAUCAGCACGGUGACAGUACAACUAUGAGUGCUAUGUUUGCCAUGAUGAAGACCUAUGGGGGUCUAGAGCGCUGUUUGGGACGCUUGUCUGGGUCUCUACUGACAAUUCAGGAUGAGAAGCGCCAGCUGUGGCAUGAGUUUGAUAGUGAGGUUGAGAGGCUAUAGGCAGAGUUGGCCCCUGUGACUCUAGAGAGGGACCAGGUAGUCCAGCAGAAUAGUGUGUUGAGUCAGGAUCUGCUAGCAGUGAGAGAGCAGAGGGGCAGGGUGACCAUAGCUCAUAGGAACAGCAAGCGCAUGCUAGUUCAUGUGCUUGGUUAGACGAAUGAAGCCUGGCAUGAGGAGGACACCCUGAGGGCCCAACAGCUGGAGCUUGAGCAGCAGCUAGCUAAUGCUGAGGAGUACAAUGAGAACCUGCAUGAGGAGAUCCACCAGCUGCAUAACCAGCUCCACCCUCACCACCUACCUGGAGCAGCUGAGUUAGACUUUGAGGAUGAGAUGGAUGAGGAUCCAGAGAUGGAGGCAGCCGCUAGUGGAGAUGAGGACGAGGAUGGAUCCAGCAUGGACAGCGACCAUAGCGAGUAGAUGCUAGGGCUCUAGAGCUAGUCCUUCUUCUUUUGCUGUUGUUGUUGCAUGGCAUGUGUUUGUAAUCUAUUGGAUCUGGGAUGUGUAAGACUUUAUGUGUUGAGUUGUGUUGACACUGAAAGUCCACUGUAUGUAUGCUGGCAAUUUUGGAUGUAUGCGAACCCUGUUGGCUAAAUGUUAAGUAAUCAGUUAGUGAUGUUGUGUGUGGAUGAUGAAUUAUUGUGCCUCUGUUUAUUGUGUGGAUUUAUUCUCAUCAGUAAAUUCAGUGUGGCAUGAUUUUGCAUAUGUCUACCGGUUGAUGGCAACUCCUAAUGACUGCUUAUUGUUGACGCAUGCAGAUGGUGCAAACGCGUGGCGGGGGUAACCGCAACCCUGGUGCUGGAGAAGGUUCCUCCGAAGGUGGGGCUCGCAUAAAUGAGGAAAGAGCACCAUCACCGCCACCACCACCGCCUCCUCCGUACACUGCGAUUUGUUUUUCACGCAGUUUCUAGGGAGCCAAUGAAACAUGGAGCAAAUGCAGCGAAACAUGGAAGCUGCCCUACGCAACAUCACUGACAACACCUGCCGUGGGGAUAACCAGGGAGGUCACGAAGUGAACCAGUAUAACUCUUUCAAGGACUUUAUGGACACAAAACCACCGGUCUUUAAAGAGGCCAUGGAACCGCUUGAGGCGGAUGACUGGAUUAACACCAUAGAGCAGAAGUUCCGUCUCCUUUAGCUGACCAAAGAGCUCAAGGUAGAGUACGCAGCGCAUCACUUGCACGGACCUGCUAGGAUAUGGUGGUCCCAUCAUCGUACCACCUAUCCAGAGGGGACCCCGAUCACCUGGAACCGCUUCACCACCACUUUUUGGGGAAAUUAUAUUCCUCUGAGUGUGGUGGAUUUGAAGAUUGGAGAAUUCAUGAAGCUGUCUCAAGGAACCAAGUCUAUGAAAGAGUAUCUACACGCUUUCAACAAUCUUGCUCGAUACGCUCUAGAGUUUGUUAACAAAGACGCCAAGAAGAUUGCUAGCUUCCAGAGAGGCUUGAGCCCAAAGAUGCUGAAGACUACGGGUAUAGGGACCCGAGCUACUUUUAGUGCCUACAUCAGCGACUGUCUUACCCAAGAGAACAAUAACAAUAACUAUAGUGCAUCCAAGUCACGUAAGAGGGCUUUUGAAGCUGGAUCGUCUCAGUCUAGGGCACCAGUGGCAGGACGUCAGCAGAAUCGUCGUCCUGCCCAAGGUGCUAGGUUCCGACCUCCAUAGAAAAUAAAUACAGGACAUCCCACUCAGGAGAAGCCGUACAAGGUAGCAGUGACCCCAGCAAAGCCAUGGGCGAAUCAAGCUGCAGCACCAAGUGCCAACACCAUGACCAAGGCACCGUGCUACAACUGCCACAAGAUGUGGCACUUUGCUAAAGAAUGUCCCUACCCCAAGAAGCAGCAGACAACCUAUCCAGCCCGUCUACACUACACCUCGAUAGAGGAGAUCCCAGAAGGAGAACCGGUUACAUCUGGUAUGUUCCCUAUCAACCAACAUCUUGCAAUUGUUUUGUUUGAUUCUGGAUGAUCGCAUUCAUUUAUGAGUCAAGCAUUUGCACAAAAGCAUGAUCAACUAGUUACCGAGUUGGGUUGUGGUUAUCGCAUCAGUUUACCUGGGGCUAAUGUGUUGACCAACAAAGUAGUAACAUGGGCUACCUUGCAUAUCAGUGGCCGAAUGUUUCGCGUAAACCUUGUAGUCAUGCUAGGGUUAGUUUUGGACGUUAUCAUUGGUAUGAAUAAGAUGACAGACUGGGGUGCAAUCAUAGAUGUAGGUCAGAGGACUCUCUCCCUUAAGGAUCCAUAGGGGGCGUGUUGGGUAUUUUAAACGCAAACAGAAAAAUCCGCAAGCGCACGGAUACCGAUGUAGCCUUCACCCGGGAGUAUUCCAGAGUAUCGAUUUUCCACAGGGAAUGUGAGUGUACUAAUUAAGAAUCAAGAUCGCCCAAGGAUAACUAUAUGAUUAUUUUUUUUGUGGGAAGAGAGGAAGUUUCCUGAGAGUUCCCUAGUUGAUCUAAGAAUCAAGAUUUACUUCAAGAUUAUCUAUAUCGGGACAUCAGAACACUAACCACAGAAAGAGAUGAGAAGGGGGCUAGGAAGCUCCGACUACGGUCCUACAAACACCGAUCCGAAUGUGGUGGAAUACGUCGACCGUUAGGGCUGUCACUACCCUAAGGCUACCACAACAAUCCGCAGGCUUGGGUGCAAUUCCAGGUAAUCGCAAGACUAAACACCACGUCUAAUCUAUUAAUUACUACUCUAGCGUUAUAAAGACUAGAGCACUUGAUGCAAGCGGGAAUCCAAUAAAUAACUUGAAUGUAAAUAAAAGUAAUUAAGGAACUCAGGAAUUAUGAAUUGAAGAACCUGGAGAACAAUGAAGAACGAACCAGAUGCUGCAAAAGUAUAAUAUUGAGGAAAAUCCGACAGACCCGACUCCUCCUCCACUCUCCUCUUCUCUCUCCCUAUUUUCUAGAUUACAACUAGAACUAACUAGAACUAGAACUAGAGGAACUAGAACUAGAACUAGAUGAACUAGAACUAGAUCUAGAUGAACUAGAGGUAGAACUAGAAGAACUAGAGGGAUCCUCUCUACUUGGAUGAAGAAUUGAAACCCUAGCUUUGAUUCUGUAGAAGAGGUAUGAUCUCCAGGGGCCAGGGGGUCUGGUUUUAUAGUCCCUUCAAGUGAAUCUGGGUCGUCGGAUCAAACCGACAUUGAUCGUGUGGUUCUCCUUGAUCCUUUAGGUCGGUGGAGCAUAAUCCGCGAAACGUGUCCUGAUUGGGCACUGUAGCUGGGCGGGCGCCCAGGAGAGUUGGGUGGGCGCCCUGCCUCCGAGCCCGAUUUCCUUCCCGUUCGUUCCCGUGGCUUCUGGAGUCUUCUAGAUGAUAGAAAAUUGCGCGACAUGUUAAUAUCUCUAUGUAAACCCGACGUGUGGGCCUUUCUUCCGUAUUUUCUGAUAACCCCCUGCAGAAAUAGACAAACACCAAAACUCAUGGAAUUCUGUCAGAUAAAACCCUAAGUCUAGGUGUUGGUUGCAUUUGGAUCCUUUUCCAUGAUUAGUUGAUGCUUAAAUGUGAGCAUUAAGGACCGUCAACAAGCUCCCCCAAGCUUAACCUUUGCUCGUCCCUGAGCAAAGAUGAACUCAAGAGUUUCUGCAGUGGUUUCAUGCCUUAAAGGUAAAUGCGUUCAAUCAAGAUCUCAUCUCUAGGUUAGGGUAAACUGUUAAGAUUUAAACUUACUCAUUUUACCUUCCACCAUGGGGCUUGCAACCGUCACUUGUGCCUUGAGCAGUUAAAAGAUAGAACGGUCUAGUCAAGCGCCAUGUCUCUUGUUCUUGAUCAACUAUAGCUCUGGAGUUUUUGCAGAUUUUCAAAUAAAAAUCAAAGAUUCCUUGUAUGACUCUCUCUAGUCUCUCUUUUGUGGUAUUUCUGGAUCCUUACCAAGGCAGUGAUGGUGUAUGCCUUCUCUCAAAGUAUGUGGUAUUUUUGGUAUGAGGCAUAGUGGCAUUGCCUUCUCUCUCACCCUACUCUAAUAAGGUUUUGAUAUCUGGAGCUCAUAGGUGGGAGACAGCUAAUACAUACUUACAAGACAUUUAUUGCAUAGUCAAACCAUGGAUCCAGAAGAACAAGUCAAUAAGUCAAAUCAAGAUGUGCAUGUGUGGCGAAUGAAUGGUGUAUGAUGAUGAUGGUGAUAACAAUGGUGAAAAUCUAAUCCUACUUGUGCUCUUUUGAGUGGAUACAUGCCUUUCUUGCUCUUUUGAAACUUUUUGAGGAGAAUGAGAUGCUCUAUAUUUUCUUUUUAUUUUCUCUCAGGUGGGUAUCUUGUACCCCUAAUUCUACUGUCGGACACUUUUCCAUUUUUACCUCUCGUCUCACUUUUUUUUUUCUUUCGAGGUUCCGGGCACUUGCCCCUUUUUAUUUCCUCGUAUUUAUUUUUUUCUCUCUCCUUUUUAGAGCACUCAUCUCCUGAAAUAAUAUAGCAAGUGGUAGUAACCAAGAUAACUUGAGCAUUUAUUUCAAAGGGGAAAACAUAAAUGUUUUUGGCUAUUCUCUCCCGGAUUAGGAGUAGAAUAUUUUUAGGUGAUUUUGGAGAUGAAAAUGGGUGGAUAUAUGUGGAUGCGUACUUCCGAAGUAGAAGUAGCAUGUAUGAGUGAACGUGCAAGUGAAUCUUGAUUUAACCACAUGACAAGCUCCUAAGGGUCUACACAGCUUGACCACACUCAAUGCUCAUAAGUAGUAGAAAGUAAAUGUGUGGCUCAUAGUCUAGCAAGCAUGUAUAUAUGGCUGUGGUAGGAUUUUAAACUCUCAUCAUACAGGAACUCAUCAUGCAACAUUUUAAAGAUUUUUAAAGAUAAAAUUCUCCAGAAUUCUAGCAUCUCUAGGAACAGAUAAACAGCAGCUCAACCUUACCAUAUCAUAUCCGUUAACGACUUAGACUUUAGAUCAAGUACUCUUCUCACAAUUUCAGGUUUAGAGCAAAUCUUAAUUAAUAACAGUCAUGCCUAAACAUGAGAGAGAUUUCAAUUUUAAGGACUAGUCAUGGUAGAGCAACUAUUCAUCAUUUCCAUUUGAGAGCUUAUCAUGAGGGUUCAUGGCAAACUUUAUUUAUUUAUUUAUUUAGCAAACUAAGCAAAGAUAUAUAUAUAAGCACAAAAUCUUUAUUUGGGUUUAUAUGAUUAUGCAUCUUUUUAUUAUUAGAGUAAAGUAUAAACGUGAGUAGAAUACUUAGCUGGAUAAAUGGGGGUGCUCUCCCCCAAGCUGGAUUUUGACGUAAUUUCUUCUCAUGUAGCUAGCAGGUGGCUGAGGUGUAUUUGAAUGUCGGUAGCACCCUGACAGCGAUUAGGAUGUCCUCCGUCUGCUAGUCUUCUUUGAUCCUUGAAUUCUGUGGAGCUCAAAUAGACAACAAAGCUUUGUGGAACUAGUUAAGUGUUAGCAUAAAUAUCUAGCCUUUAUCAUGUUGAGCCUCCUCAAUAAAUGUUACUCUCUUUAGUAGGAUUACAAUCUUAUUUAUAUUUUCAUUUUUAUAGGAUAGGAAUAUAUAUUUAUUUUUACGCCACCACAGUGAAUGUACUUAUGGGUUUUAUGGCAUGAGCAUCUCACAUGGGGCUUACUAUUUUUAUUUUUAUUUUCUUUUCAAGAUGAUAUGAACCUGAUUAACUAAAAUAAUUGAAAGGAAAAAGAUAACUACCAAGUUUACCUCUUGGCAAGGCGUUCGGUGUUUUUAAGUCCUCCGAACGGGACUCUCUAUUUUCUCAGUUGUCCAAGAAUUCGCUGGAUGGCGUAGUCGGUGGUUCCGGCGGCGCGUACUCUUCAUGUAUAACUAUCUUCUUUCUCCACACCUACCUUGGUGCACUUCUCCUUCGUACUCUGCCCAUCCGUCCUUUAUGAUUUUCCUCCUCUGGUUACGGUUGCGUCGUCUUCUUCUUGUCCUGACCUGCUUAGAGUCUUCAACUAUAUAGUUAGGGUCAGUAAAAUAGCGGCGUACCUUCUCAGAGGGGAAAUGCAUGUGGACUUCUCCAGUUCCAAUGUAGAUGAUCGCUUUAACGGUACUGAGGAACGGUCUUCCAAUGGUGAUGGGUGGACUGUACUCGUCUUCUCCCAUGUCAAUAACCUUAAAAUCAUCUAGAGGUGAAUGUAUGUUGGUUGUAGGGGCAUGGUUCCAUGCAGGAGCUCAUAAGUGACUGCGGCCAUUAUGUUGACGUUAGAUCCGGUGUCGUAGUGUCUUCUGAAAAGAAUAUCCGUUGAUUGUGCAUCGAUGCUUGGAACACCAGGGUCGUCCUUCUUGAUCAAGAAAGGUGACUUGAGUUGACGAUCUUAACCUCCUUGAGCUGCAGUGACCAUCUUAGCUGACUCGGUACACAUUUGCUUGUUCCUGUUCCUCCUAUUGGUCCUUCCUUGGUUCAUGUCAGGAUUGCUCUA